rnacentral:lncRNA from 1 species
UGAUUAUUUCGUUCACUCCUGUUUAGGUACUCAACAAUAUUAAAUGUUGUUAAACAUGGCAAGGGGUGAAGCAUAAUAAAACUACCUAUCUAGGCAAUUUAAAUGAGGCCGGAAACAACGAACAACAAUUCCGGAAAAUCCCCAUAUGCAUAUUUAGAAUUUGGUACUGUUCUGCCCUAAAACAUAUUUUAUUGUUGUUAAACAGGAAAAUAAAGUGCACCGUAUUAAACUAGGCAUUUUUCCACCCCAUUUACAUAUAAAGUUUAUUAAAUUCGGAGCUACGGUUAUUUAGUUAUGAAUUAAAGCAUUUUAACAUGGCAUUUAAGCAAAUUUAAUCAAACAUCAAUUUAAACAUUUUGAACAUGGAUGAAAGUGGCAUAUUAUGAAACUAGAUGAAAAACUAAGCAUUUUUCCUAUAUAAAGUUUUUACAUAUGAUGCAUAGUUCAUGAGUUAUUAUAUGCAUGAUGCUUGAGGGUUUUUCUGUAAAACUGCAAUUCCCUGGAUAAUAUGGUAAAACAUUCAGAAUUGGAAAAAACGAUGCGGGCCGAAACUGGCUGGCCCGAAUGUGUACAGGGGAGGGCACUGGAUCUGGGUGCUCACCAAGCCGCAUGGGCCGGUUGGUGGAGGAGCUGGCAGGCCGCGGCUAGGCCUUGGAGCGCUGCGGCUGGAGAGGCCCAGGCAGCAGGGCGACCGGUCAAUGACGCGGGCGAGCGGUUCUGGCGAGCUGCAGGUCGAUGCAGAGGAAGCAGAGGUCGGCAACAGGCAAGGUGGAGGAACUCCGGCGAGGCAGAGGCGGCGAAGACGGCGUGGAGGCGAACGGAGGCCGGGCAUGAUGGCGAGAUCCGGCGAGCACGCGGAUUGGAUGAGGCAGCGGCAGAACUUGGCGCGCGGGCGAUGCUGGAAGCAGAGGAGCAACGCGACAAUGAGGGCGGCGCUGGAGGGUCCUGGCGGCCGGACCCGGCGACGAGGGGCUCGUGCUCCUGGACGAGAGGACGCUCGGGCCUCGGGAGCAGAGGAUGAGCGGUGCCGGGGCUUGGCGAGCUCGGCGUCGAGGAAGGAGCUCCAGCGAGGUGACAAGCGGGAGGAGGCGAGGGACGCCGGCUGGGUAAAACGGCGACGAGGACUCGUAGGGAAGGACCACGGGCGGCGAUGACGGCGAGUGGACGAGGCGCUGCUGCGCUGGCACGGUCGACGGGGCGUAGAGGAGGUCGCUGGCGGCGGGGCUCCUCCUGUUGACGAACCAAGACAAAGGGAGCGAUGUGAGAGCGAUAGAGAGAUAGGAAAAUGGGGAAGGAGGAAGAGAAGGGCGACGGAGCUCCGGCCCGGUCACAUCGGUGGUCUACGGGCGUGCUGUAGAGGUGGAUCGAGCCGGUGCUUGGGAGGACAGGGCCUCAGGUGCUCGCGGUUGCAGGGAUGAAGGGCGGGGGGUUGAGGCGACCAAGAGGAGGCACGGGGACGGAGAGGUUGCGACGGCGCCUGAUGGAGAUGUGGCUAGAUCGGAGUUCGAGGGAGGCUUUGGAGGAGCUCGCUGGUUGGGUGGAUCGAGAGGAGGAGGCUGGCUGCGAGGGGAUUUGGGCAGGUGCAGGCUGCAGCGAUCUGGUUUGGUGGAGAUGGAUCGGGAUGGAUCCCGAGGCGGAAGAGGACUGACGGCGGCGACUGGGAGGAUGGGACAAGGCUCCUAAUUUUUAAGGUUAGGCAGGUAGGUGGUCUAUUUAUAGAUAGAGGAGAAGGUUUAGGGUCUCACCAAUUUAGAUCUGACGGUCAGAAAAAUAGGUUAGGGAAAACAAGUAAGAAACCGAAGAUAUUUGGGGGAUGAUUGGAGAUGAUCCGGAUUCAUCGACAACAAUAACCCGGGUCGGGUUCGGGGAAGUUUUGGACGAGCAAACAAGGGGUUCGAGCAUUGAGCAAAGAGAUUAAGCGUCCAUACAAGAGGGACUCGAAAAAAACGGUUGGUCUCGGAACGGUCAACAAACACAACAGAGAGAAGCGAGGAGCGGCAACUACGAGCUGAUGCAAGUUUAAUGAAAACAUGCAGAUGCAAUGCACAUGAUGCUAUGAGAUGAGAUGCAAGACAUGAACGGAAUGCAAAACAGAAACCCAACCACAGAGGAAAUAAAGAUCACAUAGCCGGAAAUAGCAAGAGUUGGAGUUACAAUUAUGGAAAGUUACAUCCGGGGUGUUACAUGGUCCCUCGCAAAGGUCUUGAACUUGGGUUUAUGAAGACGGGCCGAACUGGGCCACUACUGAGCCACGCCGCAGGCUGCAUGCAGGCAAGUCUAGAUACCCCCAUAUCCAGAACACUGACAGAAUGUGCCACUCUUCUGCGACAAUGAAAGCGCCAUCAAGCUUUCGAAGAAUCCAGUUCAGCACUCGAAGACAAAGCACAUCGAGAUCCUUCAUCAUUUUCUCAGAGAUCAUGUCAACAAAGAAGACAUUGAUAUCAUUCAUGUCAACACUAAAGAGCAACAGGCAGAUAUCUUCACUAAGCCCUUGGAUGAGAAGAGGUUUUGCAAGCUGCGGUGAGAGCUAAAUAUCUUAGAAUCCUCAAAUGUCCAGUGAAUGGACACACAUCCUAACGCUUAUGCAUGUUGAUGACUUAGAUGUGCAACACACGAAGUAACAUAUUUCUUUAAUCAAUGAAGACUUACCCUCUAAGUGUGAAUACAUUAACAUGGAAAUUGACUUUGCAUCGCCACGAUAAUUGUGCGCCGUGUCUGGGUCUACUACUUCCUAUACGGUGGGUAACGCCACCACCAACACUUUUCGAAGAUUUUCAUUUGGCGUCAUAAUUGCAUUAUCUUUGCAUUUUGUUUGUCUUCAACAUUGGUUUAUCUUCAAAAUAUAUAUCUUCGCAAUGUUGAUUUGUCCUUAUUUUUAUAUAUAUGAGUGCAUAUGUGUUCUGUCCUCUACAUCAUUCACUUAUAGCUAUGUCUUCAUGUUGCUAAUUUUAUGACCUAAGUGAAUGUGAUCGGACCCUAAUCCCUUCUGUGCUACUCCCUAAAAUUCCUUCUGUCCAAGUCAUGUGCAUUCUGUUGACACUUGUUGAAUAUCUUCUUUGCAUCCUUGGCAGCAGAAGAUACAUAGACACAUAUUUACAAACUGUUUUUAAUGUUCUAUCCUUUUGCUUGAAAACUGGAGAAGCCGGAACGACCACCCGACACUCCAGGCGUGCGUGGGAACAUAGGUCAACUCCUGACAAGUUGCAUGCAUGCCACGUGUUCCUCAUAUGUGAACCGCCAGGGGCACCUGCAUAAUUGUGCUGCGCUGCCCUCCUCUUUCUUAUAAAUACUCACCCCUCGCAGUCAACAUCUGUUCUUCCACCUCGCCACCUCGCUCAAAACCCUAGCGCCUCUGCUAGCUCGCGUCGACGCCGGACAUGAAGCGCUUAGCUGCCAUGACUUUUUCGAUGCCAUCCUCUCGCCGGCCGUGGACCUCUCCCUCUAUACCGCCCCAUAGGUGUCUUCCACCGCCAAGUUAGGGCGCGGGAGAUUGGACUGCUCGGCCUCCCUUCUACUUCGUCCAGCAGUUCAUUUGUGGUAAGUAAAACUUACUUUUUACAGUCUUUUCGAUCUGUCAAAUCCAUCCACUUCAACCAAAAGUGGUUUAUACACUUUUAAAUCUGUAUUUUUCUCUUUCUGAAUCUCAUACAUUGCAAAGUUUGUUCACUUAUGCGUCAAAACUAGUUAGUUUCCUCACUUGUACCUAUUCGCGGAUUCAUACAAAUCUGGAACCAACUUCCUUCAUUAAGUGAAUGUCUUUGCACCAUGAGGUCAAUGUCUUCUAAACUGAUUUAUCUUCAAAAUCUUCUGAGAAUGCAUAUGACCUCUUCCCCUUCCCUCGCAUCUCUAAUGCUGUCAUAGGUACAUGUCCAUGGGAGAAUUCCUUGGUUCUCAUAGUAUGCAUUCAUUUGCAAAAUACUUAUAGCGUCACAUCGAAUCUCCUGAAGCCAGUUCUUUUCUGACCCGCAGACGAAAGCCAUUCACUAUUUUGAAACCAAUCAAUCUGAACAUUAUGGCUUCAGAAAAGUCUGCAUGGAAAGGCGGCAGGCAACACCGUGGCAACACUGCACUUGAUUUUCCUGAAAAUCUCUAUGAUCUAUACAAGUCUGGCCCAGAGGAGAGUUAUACCCAGCGCAAGAACCGGAUUCAGUGGAUCAGAAGAUAUUGGGCAAAGCAAUGGUUCAAGUACAUGUUUGUAACACCUGAAUAUGUUGAAAAGAAUGCCAUCAAGCGCCUGUGGGGUGACUGUCAUUACCGUGGCUUGGUACCAAAGAACAAGGCUGAAGCUAUUGAACAAGGGUUCUAUCCUUGUAUGGUUAGAGGACCACAGCCUGAAAAUGCCGACCCAUCUUCUCUCUUAUGGUGUCGUGAAGACAAUAUUUUCAAGUGCAACUUUCAGUUCGCAAAACAUUCUCCCAUCAAGAAUCAAAAGGAGUUUGGCCUCAACUUCAACCCUGGCCCCUCCGCUCCAAGACCUGAUGGGACUCGUGAAGCAAAUGAGAACAGGAUUGGCCCCUUCGCCAACUUUGACGGGCUUCUGUCUCAUAUUGCUGCCCAAAGAGCAGUUGUGGAGCAAUCUGUUGAAGAAGCCGAUUCUGAUGAAGCUCCAUCACCACCAAAGCAGAAGAAGAAGAAGGCAAAAGCUUCCAAGCCAUAUGCCUCUAUUGCACCAAAGGUUUCAACCAGGAAGCCACUGAAUACUGCCCCGCCUAAAUCCAGUGUGCAGUCUGAAGAUUUAUCUCGCGUGUCCAAGAGGACCAAGAAGCCAUUACCCAAAAAUGCCACUGGGAAAACCCUCACUCCUGUUGCCGUUCUGCACAACGAGGAUGACACCAUUGAUCUGUCCAGCGAUGAAGAUCUUGGUGAUGAAGCCCUUGAGAUGCUAAUCAAGAAUAAGUAAGAGGCGGAGAUUUUCGGUGAUCUGCCCCUCUUUGAUGUAGACAUCUAGAACAACUUCAUUGAUGAAUGGUUCAAUGACCAGAACAUAUGCAUCGACAGUUUGCAGCGGUGAGUGGGCAUCAGCGUCACAGUCCACUCUGCAAUAGCUAAUGAGCUGGCCCUGGCACAAAAAUUGGUAGAGCUCAAGAACAAAAUUGACUAUGAGAAGGCCCAUUUCAAGAAGAACAUGCACAAGCUCAGUGUGGCAGAUGUGCAAAUCUUCAAGAAGAUGUUGAAUGACCUCAAGACGGAAUUCCAUCAGAAGCGUGAAGAGGCCAAAGUCUCUUGAGAACGCAUGAAGUCUUAUGCUCAGAAAUGUGUGCAGGCACACAAUGAAGCUGAAAAGAGGAAAGCUCUUGGGCGUCCUGGCAUUGAUCCCAGAAUGGCUGGUAGGAAGAGCAAAAAGCAUGUUGAAGCAAAUCCUGACACUACAAGGCAGGGACAACCCAAUAUUGUCUUCCCUGCCAGCAUGACUGGCUCAAAGCCAAAGGUCCCUUUAGUUGCUUCUGAGCUCAAAAAGACUAGGGCAGCUGAAGCUGAAGCCAGGAAGAGGAACCACAAGGACACAUCUGAUGAUGCCCCUUCCAAGAAAAAGAUGAAGACUAAGGGCUCUAAAUCUUCAAAGAAAAAUUGUGCUGCUGCCCCUGAGCCCCUUGUUGUUGAUCCCAUAUCUGUUGCAUAUCCUACCUCUGCAAAUCGAGAGCGCCGUCUUGUUGUCCAUGAGCCUGCUCCCACAGAGGCACCAGAAUCUGAAGAAGUUCCAGCUGUUGACCCCAACGCAGCUGAAGACAUUGGUCAUGAAGACAAUGUAGUUGAUGAUGAAGUCCUUCCUCAGCUCGAGCAUCAGUUGGUACCAUCACCUGCUCCAACAACCAGUGAAUACAUUAGCAUUGGUCGUCCAUUGAUGCCAAUUGCUCAAGAUGACUCCUUGGUUGAGCGCCCACAAGAAGAAACUCCUGUUCAAGAUGAAACACCCCAUACUCCACCAGCUCAAGUUACCUAUCCGGUACUUGAUGACGACAACUACAUGGAGACCACUCCAUCUCCAAAGGCGUCGCAUGCAUUUUGCUGGCUUCACAAAGGUCUCAAGCCCUCCGUAUCCAUGUCCACCAUUCUGGAAGAAGAUUCACACCAAUCAAGCUCAGUGGCACGUCAAGUGUUCCCUGAAGAGAAUCCUUCUGCAACUGAUCAAGCGUCUGAAGCUAAUGUUGUUGAAGACAUUCUAGCUGCAUCAGCCGAUGAAGAAAGAAGAGAAGAAGAAAGAGAAGCCACACCCUCUGGUCGUGGCUGACCCUCCGGUCGUUGACCAAAUGGAGGUUGAAAACAAUGAGGAUGCCACCAACACUGCUACUGAAGCCAAUGACCCUGUCAUGGCUGGAGACAAUGUGGAUCCUGAAGCCAAUGUGAAUGCUGAAGCUUCUGUGACGCCAGUCCUCACUGACAGCAUUGUUCCUCCACCACGGACUCACACCAUGGAAACGACCUUCAACCGUGAAGGGCAGUUGGUCAUAGUUCAUUGGCCAGUUAUGAUUCCACCUACCGCUCCAAGACCACAAUAUGACUAUCAUGUGGAGCGCAAGCCUCAAGUUCACAAGCCAAAGCCGCGUCUGCCAAGGCUUCCAAGUGCUGUCACUACACAUGGCUCAUUCAGCGUGCUCAGCUUCAGAGAAGACAAUACAUUCUUUGACAGUGCCAAGCACCCCUACAAGAAGCCAAGAAUCUCAUCUGAUGGAUUUUGGAGCCACCAACAGCGAAGCUAUUACUCUUGCAUUCUAUACAAUCAAGACCGGAUUUUUCCACACAUGCGUCCGGAUUGUGAUGCUAUGGCUGGGCUGCCGUGUCUGGAAGAAGCCCUUGACUGCUUCAGGGGUGUUGGUCUUCUGGCAUUUGUUACUGAUAAAGAGCACUAGAAUGAAGAGCUUCUACUGCAGUUCUAUGCCACCUUACAUACUCGAGGCUACAACAGGGAUCCGAAGACAUUGAUCCUUGAGUGGAUGACAGGUGAUGUUCAUCAUGAAGCCAAAGCUCAGGAUAUCAUCGAGCUGACUUCCCUGCCCACUCCAGAUGAGCUGUGUGAACCUGGUUGUUCGCUUUAUUAGAAUGAACUACAUAGCAUAUUUCAGAAGCCUGAGCCAACCAUGAGCCAAAUGCUUAGCAUGAUGAAGCCUUUGCCUCAAGACGUUGAAUAUCCAAAGGAAUUCUUUGUUAAGGACCUCGAGUAUCUGCCACGCAUAGUAUAUAACAUUCUGAGGCAUACUCUUUGGCCCAUCAAAGGCCACUCUUCUGAAGCCAAACUUGAAGGAUCCAUGAAGACUUUGGUGCUCUAUAUUGUCAAUGGCAUCAAAUUCAACACUCGGGAUUUUUUUCAUCAGACAACUUGCUGCUUCCGAGAUUGAUUUGUUUGGUCUGAAGUUUUAUGCUCCAUGGGUAAUGUGGUUGAUUAAGCUUCAUUCAACUAUUGACUAUCGGCCCUCAGCACACAAUCAUAUUGUCUUCUUGCCUGAGGUUGAUAUGUCUGUUGAAGCCAUCUACCCUGAGCCUGCCAAGAAGCCCCUCCAUCUUCAGAAUGUUGAGUUCCAGAGCUUCGCACAACCCAUUGAAGGUGUUCAUUGUCGGAUUACGGGUUCCGCAAACCCUUGAGAGGUUCGAACUCAGGGGUGCGUGCGGAGAUCUCAACCUGCCCAGCCUGCCUACUCGCAAGUCUCCUAAGCCUAACGCGACGAACUCGAGGGGACAGAGAGACACAUCAGAUACUGGUUCGGGCCACCAUUGUGGUGUAAUACCCUAAUCCAAUGUGGUGUGGUGGAUAGCCUUGUAGGUUGAGGAUGAACUAGUACAGUGGAUGAACUGGCCUCCGGAGGAGAGGUGUUCUUGAGCUCAAGAGAGCUAGUGAGGUGGUCCGGCCAGAAUGGAUCUGAUCCCUUCUAUGGUGGUGGCUAAGUACUAUUUAUAGUGGCCUUGGUCCUCUUCCCAAAUGUUGGAGGGAAGGAAUCCCACAACGGCCGUACUUGAAAGGGGACAAGCAGUACAGCUUAUUCUGACAAAAGUGGUCUUCGCCUGUGAAAAGCCUCUGUUCGUGACGCUGCGGUGGGCUCGGUGAUGACCUCCGUCCUGCCGUCCUGGCGGUCUUGGUCUUGUUGCACCAGAAUGGAAACGUUUGGCUGAUUCAUCGGGACUCCGUGCCUAUGGCUUGCCUCCUUUGCACCGAAGAGGAAACCUACGCUCUGCGCUCGCCUGGCGCCCGCCUGGCCUUGGUCGUCAUGGCUCGCGUCAGCUGAGCCUCGUGAGGUAAACCUUGCAUAAAACUCUCCGCCCCUCAGGAGCCAGCCUGAGGAGGCCGAUCCCCUCGGGGGUCUUGACGUCGUCCGCCUCGCGAGGCUUGGCCCCUCACGAGGGUCUUGAGUUGCCGAUGCUAAAGCUGGGCCGUACUAGGCCGUCGAUGGAGCUACGUGGUGGGACGCAUGCAGGCAGGGCUAGAUACCCCCAUAUCCAAAACGCCGACAGUAGCCCCCGGGCCCAAGGCGUGCUCGGACUUGUCUUCCAGGCGAAGCCAAAGGAUGGGCAAAUGUGGGCGUAGCAGGUGUGGGCGAGCGCGCGUGGUACGGGAAUGGCGACCACGGUGCGCAUGGCGAGGGACGGCCACGAGCGCUGCGGGCGCGCGCUUGCGGGUGCAGCUCGGAGCAUGAGCUCCAGCGCUUGGCCACAGAGUAGAGGGGAAGCAGCGGGCGCUAACGAUGGUGACGGGGAGCUGCAUGGGGUGGUCGGGGAUGCGGUGAAGUGCAGUCGAGAAGUUCACCGGAGUGCACAUGAGGUGUUCGGGGAAAUGCCAGAGAGAGAAAGGAGGAGGAGGAAGAAGAUUGAUGCUGACAGGUGGGCCCAUCCUGUCAGAAAGGCGUUUAGAAGAGGCGAAUCGAGCACUUUCCCCGACAUGGUAGUUUUUAGUCACAGAUUAGUGAGAAAGUGGUAGUUUUGGGGACAAAAUCGUAAAGUGAUAGUUUGUAGGCACGGUUCCAUGAAAUGUGGUAGUUUUUUGUUAAAUACUCUUAGGAUUCUUAUUCCCCCAAAAUCCAAGAAAAAUCUUAGAGGCAAAAUCUUAUGGAUCAAAGGAACCCUUAGUAAAUUAAAAAAGACAUGUCUCCAUCAUGUACUCCGAAUAGUGUUUUCAUCGUCCUGCAACAAAUGGUGCAUUAUCAUAGAUUUAUUUCAAGAUUUUCGGCGAUGCACGUUAAUGGGAGGAGACGUUUCCGUCAACUAUGAUGCGUCUGUGCCGACUUCAUGAAUCUCAAGAUGAUGUGUCGGCUCAGUCUCUGAAAGGUGCUCAUAGGGGUAAGGUAUGCUUAUAUGUGUGUUUAUAGGGGUGAGUAUACGCACGCGUGUGUAUAUAUAUAAGAGUCUGCAUGUACUGUGUUAAAAACAAAUGGAGCAGGUACGGAAAUAAUGUUGCGAACAUGACAUAGUGUUUAUGCCGCUGAGCAUACAACACCCGUCCUAGGAUGCUGUCUGCACAUAUAUGGUAUAGUUCUUGUCUUCCCAGGAUGCUCGGGAGAUACCGUAGACCUCGGCCUUUCCAGGUCUAACAUUGACUCUUGUUCUUUCUAGCUUGUCUUCCUAAUUGAAGUUGCCUUGCCGUCGCCCGUGCUGACGACUUUUUUGCAUGGAUCGUUGUUCCAGACGGUUAUUAUGGCACCGGAUUAAGUGAUGGUCGUCGAUGAUAAAACCAGAGUAGCUAGCUACUGGAAGAGCGUCGACAACGAUGACGAGACAUGCACACAACCUUCGCACACUUCUUGGCGGCAUAGUGGAAUGUUUUGUUGUGACUUGUGAGCCAGGUCAACCGGUGGUGAUCUCUGGACUAUCAUGUCCUGUGACAGCUUGUGUCAGUUUUUACACAAGUAACUUUCCAACUUUUGUCCAUUUAACCACAAUUGAUUGGAUCAAUAUACCACUUGAGCCAAAGUACCUGCUUCUAUCAGAAUAUGCACAUGUACUCAGUAUAGUGUGUUCCAUCCUCCUGCAACAAAUGGUCCAUGUAUACAAAUAAUGUUACGAACUUGCCAUAGUGUUAUUUUUAUGUCAAUAUUUAAGCAUACAACAAUUGUCUUUGUCCUAGGAAGAAUGUACCACCACCCCCUCUCCCUCCACCCUAAUGUCAUCACUGUGUUAGGUACCAGUUAUCUCUCUCACAAUCUAAGGAAUACAAUCUUCGAGUACACACGAAUUGGAUUACAGGAGGAAAGAGGAACGAGGUAGGGGAAGAACAGGGGUAGGGGAAGGAGGUAGCCACCAGAUGCCGUUUCGCCGUUGAUGCACUGGAUGGGUUUGUCGUUGCUUCCCCUCCAGCUAUUUGUAGCUCCUAGCAGUCUGAUGGUGCCCGGCCAGGCCCAACCCAUGUGAUAUCCAAGAGCCAGCCCAAGUACAUGUAUAGCUAGGAAAGGUCCGUGACAUCCCUCCCUCCUUGAAAUGCGGCUUGACCCCAAGCCGCCGACGCCACCAAGAACCACUCGGAUCCCAUUUCACUCGAUGUUCCUGGCCUUGGUCGGAGUCUGGGUAGACUUCAAUGAGGGUGAAGUAAUUGUUGUGGCUAAAUGAAAACCAGUCGAAGGUGUCGAGGGCGUAGCCAUUGUCAGUACAGUCGUGGACGAAACCGAGGUAGUACUCUUGCUCGGCACAGCUUGCGCGAUGACAGCAACAACAAUGAUGAUGCCCCUCCCUCCUUGAGGAACCGCUCGCCGAGUGAAUUCUAGUAACAGCAACAAUGCAAGCUCUCCAGGAUCCCAAGACGUGCCCAGUUGGUUGAUGCUCACGUCAGACCCCAACUUCGAACUGCUGCUGGAACUAGGCAAGCCAUGGAAAAUCUUGUUGAUUUGUUGUUGCACUUGCACCAAGGUCGCAACCCAGCUACAGAACAUCACUGUUUUCUGGCCAGGGAAGAUUGCACACAACAUAGGAUCAGCAACACCUGGCUCUGAUACCAGAUGUUAGCGUCCAACUCGGUCUAGCCCACACUCUACUUACGUUCUGGACGAUUAUGCGCACAUGAGCCAACAUUCAGCAAAGAUCCCACUCCAUUCCAAAAGCCCGGACUGAAAGGAGGAAGUAAUCUCUCCCUUAUAAGCUGGUCAUGGCCUCCUCCCGUAAGCGAGGUGGGACUAAACCGAGCCAGCCUCACCGGCCUACAGUAGCCCUAACAUCCCAUCCCCCUGAGAAGCCCCUCAGGAAGGCAUGGCGAUGCUGACUCUGAUACCAGAUGUUAGGUAUCAGUUAUCUCUCUCACAAUCUAAGGGAUACAAUCUUCGAGUACACACGAAUUGAAUUACAGGAGGGAAGAGGAACGAGGUAGGGGAAGGAGGUAGCCGUUGGAUGCCGUUUCGCCGUUGAUCCAGCUAUUUGUAGCUCCUACCAGUCUGAUGGUGCCCGGCCAGGCCCAGCCCAUGUGAUAUCCAAGAGCCAACCCAAGUACCUGUAUAACUAGGGAAGGUCCGUGACACACUGAAUGAUUCCACUGACCUAAGCUUGCACACUAAACUAGAGGCAAAAGGGGUUCCUCGCAACAAUUUCCUCCAAGGUUCGGGGUAGGGGUGGACUAACGAGCAACUCGGCUCGUUAAGCUCGUACUCAUUAAGCUCGUGCUCGUUAAGGCUCGGCUCGUUAAGCUCGUUAAGAUUAACGAGCAGAAAACCCUGCUCGACUCGGCUCGUUUGAAGCUCGUUAAGCUCGUGAGCGCUCGUUAACAGAUUAUAAUGUGUUACGAUAUACAUGAUAAAUGUGUAGGUGUGGUUUUCAAGACGAAAUAUGAUGACUAUAAAAAGAAAUGCAGUAGUUUGUUGCCUCAUAUGUCGAUUAGAUUGAAUAUAUGGGCUGAGGUGCUACAAAAGUUUGUCACGUAAGAUGAAAAUAUGUGUUGUGUUGUUACUAACGAGCUUAACGAGCUACUCGUGAGACUCGUUAGCUCGCUCGUUAAGCUUAACGAGCUGAAAUCAAUGAUUGGCUCUGUUCAUUAAGAAGCGAGCUACGAGCUUAACGAGCCGAACUAUCGAGCGCUCAUUAAGCUCGCGAGUUACGAGCUUUUGGUCCCGCCCUAGUUCGGGGUAUGGUCUCCCUCAUCGACAACAGCACCUUCGGUGGUGGAGAGCAGGCGGUGCCCGAGACAUGGCUCUCGUGCGGCUUUUUGUUACAAUUACAACUAUGUGGAUGCACUUGAAUGGCGGAUAAGAGGGACAUGAACAUGAUAGAUGCUCCCUUUCACUGACAACGCAUACGGCUAUCACUUCAGUUCGAGCUUAUCUAGACAAUCGAUCAAUAGUGCUUUGUUUCGUUGACUAUGUUUGUGAUGUGCGCACGCACGCCAUGUCGUGGAGGACAGAUCUGGUGAUCACACCCCAGAUAUUGCGUAACAGCAAACAUGCUUAAGCCACGCCCAGGGCAUCAUUUGGUCGGGACUGAACACGAGACUUCUUUCGCCUGUCUCAAAUACUAUUUCAGUCAAACAACUUGGUUCCCACGUAACUGGAUGUUAAUCCCGCGCUGCGGCGCACGGAGGCCGCCACGCCGUCGUAAGAACGCGACCUGCUGAUCUGACAUUUCUAUGCGAGAUGCGUCGUCUGAACUGGUCGUGGCCGUCGAUCGGGUCCUCUUUGUGCCGGUAAGUAUAUAGAAUUGCUGCGGCUGCAGCUUUUGAGGGCGGCUCUCGGUGGUUGCUUUGCUAGGUUCAGUGUACCUCGCCUUUCUUUGCUCCGGCCCAUCUGAGGAGCACGUGCGAUGUUUGUUAUAGCAUGGUUGUAUUAUGGAGGCGAUCGUUGUCGCGGACAAUAUUACGGCUCGGCCUUGGCGGCGCCGACAUAUCACUUCCCAAUGAGAAAGCAAGUGGCAAACAGAGUGUACGCACGGGCUUUAUUACAAAAAAAUUUAGAACAACGGGCUUUAUUACAUGAGAUGUCAAAGUUCACGAAGUUCACACGGGCUUAAAGCUAACUCCAAUGAGCCGACAUAUUUCUUCCGCUCACGUUCGUUUGGGUCCGUGCGAAAAAACCCGGCGCCUGAUCCACAUAAACGGACGACGUCCAUUUUCAUGUUUGCUUCGAUCUAUUUCCAACCCAACUUGUGUUUGAGUUUACAUUCAUGCGGACACGUCUCGGACGUCCGUAGCAUCAUUCCCUGGUCCGCGUGUUGAUGGCACAUAGGCCAUUCCAUCCCCUCCUAAAACGAGCUCGGCCUGCCGGCCCUAGUCACCCUCGUCACCGCCACCCAACUCCAGGCCUCUUCCCACCUUUGGGCGCCAGGGGCGAAUCUACUGGGGGGCUUUAACAGGCUCGAGCCCCCUCCCCCCCUUCAGGGAUGCAAAUUUUUUUCCUAUUAGUAUUAGGCUCAGCCCAGGCAUUCAGUGGCAGCCCAUCAAGCUCAUACAGUCACAAUCAUGUCUAUACUCGUUCAGAAUCCUUCGUUCGUUAAGUUUAAGCCUGCCCACCGUUUUGUCCCAAGAUUCGCCACUAUCUGGCGCCCCCAUCGAGCCGCCAUCGUUGCAUCCACAGUUGCCCCCACCGUCAUGGUGGUUCCGCUUCUCGCCGCCGAUGGUGUAGCUCACGGCCCGCAUUGUACCCAGGGUCAUCGCCGCCCUUCGCGCAGUCACCGCCGGAGGACGUGGGCCAUGCGCUUGGGUUGAACAGUAACAGAGAAAACAGCCAUGUCCUACUCUUUAACAAUUAUUUUCAUCGGACAAAACCACUAUUCCUUGCCAAGCUUUUUCGGCGAUGCUUUUGGAAGGGGAGACCAUUGUUCAACUAUAUUUAGCAGGGAGUGAUGGGUUAUGAUGAUUACUUCACUUGCAAGUAUGAUGCCAUUGGAAAGGUUGGCUUCACCUCUUAUCAAAAAUGCAUUGCGGUUAUUUGGAUGCUUUCAUACAAAGUUCCCGGUGAUCUAGUUGGUCACGGCCAGGGCGGGUGGCAGCUUCCUCGUCGCCGGCAGGGCGGGCGCGUGUGGGGCAGCCGGGUGCAACAAAGCAGACACAUCCUCCUCGACGUCCACAACCACCGGGUGCAACAGAGCGGGGGGUGGGGGUAUAUUUGGCGGACUUGAUAAUUUUGGUGAAAUUGGAGGUGGGUUGGUCUAUCUGGUUCGACCUGGCGGACGCGUCCGAGUCUUUCUAUAUUUGUCUCAAAUAUGAACUAAUAUGAGACGUAUAUGGCCGGUGUCAAAGAGCACGGCUGGAUCUUGAUUUUUUGAUUGAUCGCUAAUCAGAGCGUCCGCACAGAUAUAUAUAUAUGGGAGCCGGGGUGUAGAUGCUUCUGCGCAAGUUUGAAUAGUGAGAGCAACUUCAACGGGCCGACCCAAAUGCAUGGCGCAUUUGUCCGGCUUAUGUCCGUUUUGGUCGGCCGCCCGCCCGGCAUUCGUCCUGUUUUUCAUUUGGAUCGGCAGUGUGUCCAAUGCGCCGACCCAUUUUCAUGUCCGCACUCAAAUUUUAAAAAAGGCCCACGGCCAUAGAUCAUGCCAGCGAUCAUGUCUCAUGCCGACACCAUGCCAGCUCCGGCAUACAUUGCUGGCUUCAAAAAUACACCACACAGUUCAUGCUGGCGCACUCGCCAGCGGCCGGCACACAUGCCAGCACACAAAAAGGGGUGGGACUUGAGUUGGACCACGUCAUCACGGCCCCGUGGUCAUGCCAGCGCACAAGCCGACAUACAAAAAAGAAGGCGCUCGCGGUCACGAGAUCACUCGUCGGUGAACUUAAGCAUGUCGGCUUGCAUUUUCUCGAACCAUGGUCUCUUCCUUGGCGACACGGUGUUGUGAUCCACCUUCAUGAUCUCCACCCCGGUCAUCAUGCUUGCGAGAGCCACUUCUUUGGCCUUGGUCUUGGCGUUGGUGGCCUCGAUCUCGAGCAUCUUCGCUUGCUUCUCCGCCUCCAACUCAAGCAUCUUGGCUUGCUUCUCCACGUCCAUCUCUAGCCUCCUCCUUUGGAUCUCCAUGAAGGCGUUCAUUUGCUCCUCUUUGAAACACCGGCGCUCCUCCUCUCUUGAGUCCUUCUUGUUCAUCAUGCCCUCCACGCUUGCGAUCAAGGCGUCCGAUGCCGCAUCCAGCUUGUCCUCCUUCUUGGAGUUGGUCUUCCCCCGUGGCCGAGCCGGCUCGCCGUCCCCAACCUCCUCCACGGCUUCCUUUCCCCCGCGCGACUUGAGGUCGGCAUAUUGCGGCUUGAACUUCUCCUCAUCUUUGAUGACCCUAUACACUACUAGGAAAAGGGCUGUUAGUGGCGCACCUGUUUUUGCUAUUAAUGGCGCACUACAGGUGCGCCACUAUUAACACGCCACUAGUAACAAAUAGUAACAGCGCACCUCUGAUGCGCCACUAGUAUCCCAGAUAAUAGUGGCGCACCACACAGUGCGCCAUUACUAUGUCCACAAGUGUGCCAUUACUAUGCCUCCCAGGGGGCCAUAUUUACCUUGUGCUCUGGGUUACUAAUGGCGCACUUUGAUAUAAUGCGCCACUGGUGUGUUUAUUUCAGUGCGUCACUAAAGUGCAACACGGUGCGCCACUACUAUGAAUAUUACGAUUUUUUUCUGAUAUUUGCACAGGUUACAAAAUACAUUACUGCAUAGAAUAUAGAUAGCACAACAUAUAAACAGUAGAUUUAUCGAAUACAAUAGAAAAUUAGUCUCCGAAUACAAUUCAUCAUAUUAAUCUCCGAAUUCAAAAUACCGAACAAAGUUAGAACAUUACAAGUCUCGAGACCGCGAGUAGCGAGUUUGUCUUCACAUUACAAGUCGAUAUCGAUCAUCUAAACUACCAUCACAUAGAAGAGAGUUGCGGUCAUCACGAUGAGCGUCAUCGCGAUGAAACUGGUCUUCAUUCGGUUCCUCCAACGCUCCUUCCUCUCUCUCGCUAGAUAGCGCGCGUAUCUAACUUCCGCCUCCGCCCUAGUGGUGUACCCUUUGUAACUAUUACUGCUGAAACGGGGAACCUGUCUCCGACACUCCUCCCAGUCGUCGUAGACUCCGGAAACCUUACCCUUGUACACGACAUACGAUGGCAUCUCUAUGCACUAGACAAACAAAACGUUAGUAGCAAUUCACAGACAAUACAUAAGCAAUAUAUAAGUAUGCAACAAAAGGAUUGGAAGAGAAAAUCAACACAUUAAUAGCACGAUUCAUGGUCCUACUAAUAAAUAGCAUCGAUUACAUAUAAGUUGAACGACUGUCCAAACUAAAGAGACAAACAAGUUCAUUAAAAUUUAAUUACAACAUGAGCUAAUUGAUAUUUCAGAACUACAUAGCAUCACUACUUUCGACUUGACUCAGGGACCGGAGCGUGGAUGAAGCCGCCGUCUAUCGUGAUGGUCAUGAAAUCGUGGUCGCUAUCAGCCUGCAUUUUUAGCGUUGUUUCUAUCUCACUGUUGGACGGUUGAUAUCUGAGGUAGAACUGCCCCGAGGUACGAAGGACAUCUUGAUGGAUGAUUUCCUCAAACUCCGACUGGAUACGAAAGAAUUCUUGUCUGAUGUCCGUGUCCUGGAUUGCCGACAAGCGUGCGGCCCAAUCUUUGAGAUUAUUUGGUAGCAGAAGGUAAUUAUGGUGCCGUACGAUCGCCCACAUGUGAUGGAGGGCAUAGUAGGCAUCCUUCUGACCGUCAGGCGGCUGCUUGACGCAGGGGAACAUCGUAUUGUGGGUGAACAUGUGCUUGCCGUACCUACGAAUUGGCCUGCUGAAGGUGCCUCCAGAUCUGGCGUAGCCGGUAAGAACUUCAUCAAGAACUUUCUUGAUAUUUGUGUAGUCUUUCUUCGAUUGGCGGUCCGAGUCGAAAUACGUGGCCAUGGAAUAUUUCGGCUUAAGAGGAUGAGUGUGCAAUGUGUGUCACUGCACAAAACACGGAAUGUUAGAAAAAAAAGAACGAUCAAAUCUAAGAAAUCAUAUGUUAUGGGGCGGUGAGGGGAUGACUUACUCGGGAAAGUAAGGCACGAGGAAUUUAUCCUUAUCUGGGUUUGCCAGAAUGACGCCUUCAAGGUAUGAACUCGUGACUUGCCGGUCCCCAGCGAUGCCCAAGAUCUUGGCACGCAUGUAGAAGGGAUCGACUAUAACGAUGUUCGAGGUCUUGUCUCUAACGAUCGGCAUCUCCAUACUCAGCGAAAAUAGCCGAAUGAAGGUGUAGUGCAGCGGAUGAAGGUUAAACAUAGCAAAGAUGUCAUCAAACCGCAGGACGAUCAUACCCCCGAUGGUGCUAUCGACAAAGCCCUUGCACUCUGGCACCUUGGCCAUGAAAACCGGGUAUGCCACAUCAUUCUCGGAGAGAUGCCGCUUCUCCAAAGAAAGAACACUGUCAUGCAGACUCCGCAUAGCACCGGUUGAAGCAUUGAGGAGAAUAGUCGGUAGCAUCGGCCUACCCGCCACAUGCACCCUCCUCGAGAUAUCCUUAGGUGAAGGUGGCCCGUCCUGAGCACGGAUCGUACUCGGUGUCGGCUGGCUCACACCCUUGUUAGUCUUUCUUUUCCGUCCCUUCUUCUUCUGCUGCUGUAAUGGGAUCGAGUUCUGCUCAGAGACCACCUUCUUGAGUGUGUUGGGGCUGAUAAUAUUUCGCACCUCGGCUAUCUGAGACUCGGUGAAGGCGGCAGCUGGAGGCGUCUCCUGAGAACUGAACACCAGACAACGACUGUUGCAAUUGGAUUUCUCCUCGGUACCAGCUAGAUCGCGAUCAUCUUUUGCAGGGUUGUGUUCUUGAGAAGGAGGCCCCAAGAAUUCAUCACCGUACCCAUGUUCGUUCAAGUACUUAUCGACGUUGGUAAAUGUACCAUCGUCGUCGUCAUCGUCCGGAUCAUGUGCCAUAUGCAUGUCCGGAUCCUGUGCCAUAUGCAUGUCCGGCAUGUCUGGUAGCGUUGCGACGGUCUUGCCAUGGCUUGGCGCCGGCAUGACUGGUGGUGUUGUCUGUGGGGUGGUGUCCCCCGCCCCCAAACGAAUCUGGCUCUUCGGACAAAGCAGGGGCCAGCUUAAGCAGGCAUUGAGGGUCAUCACAUCAUCUUCGUUGGCCCCAGCGGGUUGAAACAGAGGUAACAAGUCAUCGCAGCCUGGCAGCACCCGAACUAGUUGAAUCCUAUACACGGUGGGUGGCAUCGGAUUACCGUGGAACACGGGGUUACCCGGUUGAACGAUUUUUCCCUUGGCGACAUCGAUCAACUUGCCGCCCACGAAGUGCAUGAGAGUGCAUGGAACAUCGGCGGCGCCCUACAAAAACAUGUAGGGCGUCAGGGAUGCCCAAUCAAAGGCAAGGAGAUGAAGUCAUCGGCCGAGAGGCUUAGUUACCGUGAUAGCGUCGAGCCCGGCUAAUGUCGAGGCACCGCCAACGGCGGGCGUGCAAGUGACGGAGGGGCUGCUUGCUGCCGAGGUGCCAGCCGGCGUAUUCUUCGCACAUCCGGGUGCAUUAAGCUCCAAUGCCCGCACCGGCGCCGGAGACACCAAUACCGCCUCCGCCGGAGACACCAAUGGUGCCGCCUGCGCGUUGUGCGAGUUGCUGGCCGUGAAGCUGGGAAUCGGGGGCGGCCCCUAUUGGCCGCCUGCAAUCCACGCCUGCAGCCCCUCAAUAUAGGUAGGCACAAUGGUGGUGAUUGUCGCUCCCAGUUGGUCUCGCAUUUGCUCUUGGACCAUCUCUAGAAUCCGCGCCACUUGUGCCUUGAGUUCUUGAACCUCACGCGACUGGCUUUCCGAGCUGGUCUUUCUCUCCUUUCGUCCAACGUUAUAGUAUUCCGACCAUUUUGUGGACAAGCCUUUGCCGGCCACACGACCAGCUGACGACCGCUUACUGAACUUAUCCUUGAGUUUCAUUAUGUUCAACGCUUUAUUUAAAGUGGUGUCCCAAGGGGAGCUCUGAGAUGACCCCGCGCUACUGCUUUCAGUGUCCUGCGGAAGGAACAUGAACCAUUUAGAAAUUUGGCUUCAUUAAUUAAAAUGCAACCAUAUGGAGCUAAUUACGCGGGGGUGUAUUCCUUACCAGAACAAGCUCAAGUGCCUUGGUCUUCGGAUCCGUGGUAAGCUCCUUUGUUACCGGGUCCACCUUGUAUCGGGCCCUGACAUAGUUCCUGGUCUGCUUGUCACGGUAUUUAUCGAAGAGGGGCGGUAGGCCUUGCUCGGCACGCUCCGCGUCCUCCUUGUCCCAUAUAGGUUCCGGCACUCUGUAACCGCCGGGACCGAGUUUGUGGACCCCUAAGUUCAAGUCCCGCAUUUAUUUCCCCCACUGACUUGAUUCCGCGGAUGGCUUGCUCCUGCACUUGAUCUUGAACUCCCGGUAGUUAGCUUCGCUGAUCGAAGGAUUUUUCUCCUUGAUCUUCUCAUAACUAUCACCACGUAGAAUCCUAUGCCUCACUGCGGCUCUCCAAGUAGACAGGGUCGUGCUCAUCUUCGUGAGGGCGGCAUUGUUCACUGUAUUCCCUGAGAGGCGUGUGUUUGCGACAUCACCGGGGAACUUGUAUCGUUCGUGCAGCUUCGUGAAGAGGAGGUUGCGCAAAUUCCCUCGGUCACGAUGCCUUAGGUUCUCGGUGUUGAUCGAGAUGGUGCUCCGGAGAAUGCACCCGAGUUGUCCCGUGUACCCACUAACUAAUUCUUCGGGCGCCGUUGGAUACCCAUAGGAGGACACUUCAGUAAAUUCCUCCUUGAGGCUGCCGAGCAUGUUCGGGCGCCGGUCCUUCCGUUGCCUCUUCGGUUGGCUGCGAUCUGUGCGUGCGCUGCCAUCAUCAGUGGUGGCAUCCUCGACAGCACCAUCAGUGGUGUCAUCCCCAACGCCACUAGGGGUUGUGUAGUCGGGGUCGGUGUCUUCCGUGGCGUCCUCAUAGUGGUGAGGUUCUUCCUCCAUCUCCUGGGACAGCUCCCAGAAUGCCUUGCCCGAACCGCCGGCCUCAUCGUUGUGGGCCAUGUUUGCUCUAAAUAGGAAAAAAGUUUUGUCCAAAAGUUGGUUAUUAUCAAGGAACAAGAUCUCUAAGUUGACCAAAUAACCUAAUUCUCGAGGAAUGUCGCCAAAAAGUUGGUUAUUAUCAAGGAACAAUUGAGAGAUGUUUGUGAUAUUGCCUAGGUGUUUUGGGAUGGAACCUGUUAGUGUGUUAUUGCUAAGGUCCAAGUCCCUUCCUAACCCCCUUCUUCUUGUCUCCUCUCACUAUCUCUCUCACACACAUGGCAAGCAAGGGUGUCUGAAUGUGUGAAAAAAUUACUAAACUAAUCCCAGGGCUGAAAAUUGAUCAUCUGUUUCAGAUUGCAGUUUUCUUUCUUGGGGCUUCGGUGUGCGGUACAAAACUGAAUUUUGGACAUCUACAGAAAUUAUUAGGAAUUGUCUUAGUCAAGAAGUGGUAGCAAAUGGCUGAAAUGUAUCAGGUCCUACUCUAGUUUACUCUAGUUUAGGUUGUAGUAAAAAUGCACUACUAUGGAGUAUCAGGUCCCUAGCAAAAAUGCACUAUAGAGCAAGCAAUAAUGCUACUCCAAUUUUCACAGAUUAUAGCAAUACUGACUGCAAGCAAUUGCAAAAUUACAGAGAACCGAAAUUGCAAAAUUCAGUACUCCAUAACAUUACUGAAAUUUUACUGUGCUUGGAACUAUACUGAAACUUUACUCCAUGUAUAUAUGAUCAUUUUUAUUUGAAAAGUUUCAUUUAAUUUUGUGUGGAGUAGUUUUAAUUAAAUAAAGUUUUUAACUGCUUGAGAUGAGAGAAAUGAGAAGAAGAGAGAAGGGCUACUGCUUGCAAGCACAGCUGCUUGCAAGUCCUACAGUAAAUGGUUUCAGUUAAACAUCUAUUACUUAUUCCAUAAGAACAGCAAAUCAACUGCAUCUGUCCUACAAUGAGCCUGAUUUUCUUUGGCACGGUGAGCCAAUUUCAUUCAUUUGCAUCUUCUUUAAAAAAAUGCAGUUGGAAGAUCACCCGCUGUGUUGCCUAAAAAAGUCAUGCUAAAUACACAUACAUGUAGUUUAUCGAGUGAUGAAAAAAAAACAGUUGAUCCUACUUAAUUAAGUACUAAGAUAUCCCGGCCCAUGCAUUAGUCACAAGUACCGCAUAUGUCCUAUUUUUAGCAAAGUCAUGCUAAAAUUCACGGAAAAUUUCAGUAUGACUGUCGGUGUCAAAACCGGCGGAUCUCGGGUAGGGGGUCUCGAACUAUGCGUCUAGGCGGAUGGUAACAGGAGACAAGGGACACGAUGUUUUACCCAGGUUCGGGCCCUCUCGAUGGAGGUAAAACCCUACGUCCUGCUUGAUUAAUAUUGAUGAUAUGGGUAGUACAAGAGUAGAUCUACCACGAGAUCGUAGAGGCUAAACCCUAAAAGCUAGCCUAUGGUAUGAUUGUUGUUGUAUAUCUCUAUCGACUAGCCUGGCCUCGGUUUAUAUAAUGCACCAGAGGCCUAGGAUAACAAGAGUCCUAGCCAAAUACGCCGGUGGGGGAGGAGUCCUUGUCUUGAUCGCCAAGUCUUGUGGAACCUUCCUUGUAUGCGGCAACUGUCCGGACUGGCCCAUGAGUAUACGGCCAUGGGGAUCCUCGGCCCAAUCCAACUGAUCGGGAGACGACGUGGUGAGUACCCCCUAGUCCAGGACACCGUUAGUAGCCCCCUGAACCAGUCUUCAAGUUGGGAACGCUCCUCGAUUCUUCCGAACUGUUCUUCAUCUUCGGUCGUUGGUCUUGAAAACUGGUUCAACAAAUCUUCUCAUCUUCGAUCUUGAGGAUCGCCGAAAUGCAUUCGACGAGUUUACACGUCGGGUAUCCGAGGAGCCCCUUUAAGUUUUUGGCCUUUAUCAAUGCCUUGUUAUUUUUAUGCCACACCUCGGGUUUGAAGUUGUUCCCGGGCGGCAACGUCCUCUUGCGUCCGAGCUCCAACGCCGGACUGCAUUCGAGGUAUCUUUUGCAGCCGAGCACCAAUGCCGGACUGCUUCCCAGCUCUAACGCCGGACUAUGUAUCCGAGCUCCAACGCCGGACGGUAUCCGAGCUCCAACGCCGGACUGUAUCCGAGCUCCAACGCCGGACUAUGUAUCCGAGCUCCAACGCCGGACUGUAUCCGAGGUGUCGUAAAUCACCUUGGUUUAAAGAAGUUUGAAGGAGUUUAGCCGAGCUUAAUGCCGGAAGUGCCCUCUAUGGAGCCAGCCACUAGCGCCCGAGCUUUACGCCGGACUGCUUCUGAGGUGGUGCACCACCCCGAAUGUGGGCCGAUUUUUGUCAAUAUUUUUGAUUGGUGCCAGUAGCCCUCAAGGUGGGUAUCGGUCUAAAACCCGAGAUGCACAUGAAGGAUGACAUAAGACCGCUGAUCCCCGUAGCCGCUGAGACUCAUGUUGAUUUGCAAAAUCGGUCUGAGGAUCAAGUCCUAGCUCGGCAGAAUACUUCGGGACACAAAAAGCGGCGUGCUCAGUCCUCGAGACUCAGGUUGGGUGCGGCCGACCAACCUGAGGAUCAAAAUCUCCUCGGAAACUGUAUUGCACUUAAAAUUUUCUGCAUAGAGCAGGCAAUGCAGUAGCCCCCGAGACACUGGUCGGGUGGCAACACCAGAUCAGGGGAUUGAUGUGCCCCUUUAAUAUUUGUAAAUAAUAAGCCCGAAGCCCAGUAGCCCCCGAGCCUUAAUGCGGGCACGGGAGGCCGAAUUAAGGAUCGAUAUCCAUAGUAAAAUCACAAAUUAUGUGUAAUGACUCUAUGUAUCCAAGUACUUUACGUCAUUAAUGCUCGGAUCCGCAUUGUACAAAACUUUGUUGACCGACCAUCGGCUUCCACCUCCUCGGCCAAUAGCCGAGGAGUGUUUGUCCUACUUUAUAAAGCCUUUAUGAGGGUAAAGAUUGACAACAAACAAGGCAAUCUGGCCAUACGGUUUUAUAAACAAAGGUACGCGGAGAGAUAUGUUAUAUUACUGUUUAACAGAAGAAAUGUCUUCCAAAGAAAAUAGUCCCGCUAUCGGUUCCUUUCUUUGGGCUAUCAUGCUAAGCAUGAUCAUGAAACCUCAGCUCUAAUGUAAGAGCAAAAUAUUGAGGAUUUAAUUUGGGGUGCCAGUUACUAGCCCCCGGUAGUGUUCGGCGACAGUCGAGGUCAAGCCGGAAACACUUCGGCCAAUGUUAUGAAUGGCCCGUCAUUUAAUAUAGUCAUCAGAUCGCUGACCAGUUUACACCUAUUGUGACAGUCAGUGUUCGGCUUUCUCCACUGAGGUGCUUGACCAUGUGAGCUGGAAGCACAAUCGCAGUGGUUCUCCCUUUGCACACCUAGCCGAACAAAGCGGAACGUAGGAGGCAAGCGCGGGAGCCGGGCAACCCAACUAUUGACCGAAGACACAAUUCGAAGCUGAUGCAUAUAUAGCAAUAUCCGAGAAUAUUUUUGCCGAAUCUCUAAAGGUGUCCGGCGUUGCACUGCGAGACUUGUGCUGAAAACACACAAAUAGUUUAAAAGUGCCAUGGGCUCGAAAAGCCAAAAAGGUUAAUUUCCGAACUAGAUCAAGUGUUCGGUGCCAAUCCGAAAAUUGGACUUAGAAAAAAAAGUGCUUCUGCCGUGCUUUAACUUUGCGACGACUAAGAAGAAAAACACUUAGUAUGAAACGGCUCAAAUAAACAUAAGAGCCCCCAAGCGACUUGGGUAAAAGUUGACUAUAAAAUGUAAGGUGACAUGUAGAAUGUCUUCUAGACGGAUUGUAGAUCGUUUGUCGUAGCGGACCUUUUCGCUUCAACCUCUGGACCCAAUAGUCCGGAGUGUGUCCGAAUACCCUCGCGGUUAUAAAAACCGGGGCAUGCGUGGAGACCAGGCGUAGGGGUCAUUAGUGCUUUAUCAGACAAGUGCCCAACUAGUUAUGUUAUAUUACAUGGUUAGUAAGAAACAUCUUCCAGGGAGAAUAGUUCCGUUAGGGGUUCCUUUCCCUGGGAGGCAUUGCCCUAAAGUGCAUGUCCGGACUGCAAAAAGAGCAGAAAAACAUCUGGGGGCGGGUAAAUAAAUAGGUAAGAAAUCAUCUUUUAGUUCACCGACCGAGUAUUCCCUUAAGAACGCUAACUUUCGGCUUCACCCAGUCUAAGGUACACAUCCGGCUGACCCGGCAGUAACAAUCACAGAGGUGCUCCCUUUACCACCUAGCCGAACAAUCGGGAACGUAGGGGUAAGCAUAGGAGCCAGGCAACCCAGCUUGGCCAAAACUUAAGUCAUAUCGAUGCAUAUAAUGGUGAAUAAAAGGUACAUGCGGAAGUGUGACACAUGUGUUGGGCAUAAAGCCCGAAUUAAUAAGCUUCUGUUAAAGAAGCCCCCAGGUAUAAUGAGAGCGGGUAGCGCGUCAAGUAUGUGCAAACAAAGUUUGGACAAGGAAAAAUUUUACAAGCGACUUUUUUUACAAAAAAGUAUAAUGCUUGGUCGAACCGAACACAAGUUAGAAAUUUAAAACUUUGAGCAUGAAGGCAACUUAGCUGGUUAAUGUGUUCGGUAUUGAUGACGCGGUCCGAGCUUGAUGUGGGACAAGUGUCCAUCCCUCAAGCCGGUCCCGAGGUGGCGGAGCAAAGAGCUCGGCACUCCGAAGUGGUGACAUAGCACGGUCAAUGCAGGACGGCAGAGUGAUGCCGAAGUCCCUAGCAUGGGGUAAUGAAGUGUUGACGAAGCCCCCCGUCCAGCCGAGGUGACGUCAAAGGAUAUAGUCCGGCUGGAUCAUUUUCCUGUGCACAAAAAAUAGUGCAAACCAGAGAUAAUAGUAAUAAUAGGAAUUAAAAAAAUGUUGCAUAAUAAAUAAUUUAUGCAAAGUGAGUAGUAAAAUAAAUAUGGCCUGGCGCCGAAGUCGAUGUCGAUGCAGGUCGUCGGCGUAAUGUAAUAAAGGCGUGGCAAAGCCUGGAUUCACAGGUCGGUCCGAGUUCCGGAUGCAACGUUCGCCGGACUAUGUACAGAAACUGACCGAACCAUCAUGCGACUGUUGAUAAUGCGGCCACCAUUUGAUAGACCUGUGUGCAUAUGAUGGACAAACCAGAGUAAUAAUUCCUUGGGAAAAAUUAACCCAAACAAGCAAAAAGAAAUAUUAGGAUUAAUAGCACCUGGUUUAUUUGUUGUAGCAAUCCGAAGGAAGGUGAUUCCCAAAGUUGGGACUCGAUCCGCGCACCCAUCGCCUGGUCGGCUAGUGACGCCGAAGUGUCCGGAGUAGGUUGAUGAAGAGAUGGCGAAGCCCCUGGUCCAGCCGAGAUGUCGAAUUUAGGUAGGCAUGAUGGACACCAGCUUGAAGAAGCAAUAGUGCGGCCCUGCCGAUGCAGGUCGUGACGUGGUCGAUGCCGGCUUGAUGAAGUGACCGUGCGGCGAUGCAGGUGUGCCCGCUCCGUGUAAUCCGUGGAGUGGCGAUGUUGGUGAUGAUUUAUCCUUCGCGAUGCCGGACUCUUGUCCGGCUUGCCAAGAUAAUGAUCCGAAGAAGUUGAGCUCGGCUCAACAAAGCGACCACGCGUCUAGCGCAUGUCGGCUGUCGUGGAGUGAUGUUGUCGAGCCGGUUUGACACCGGCGCGAUGGUGAAGAUCGUAUUGUAAAAAUACUUUUAAUAUUAAUGGGAUGUGUUUGAGAAUAAAGCACAAUACCCCAUACAAAAACUUCCUUCAAAAAGGAAGUCCGAAAUCCUGUUCAUAAAGAAGAUGAACUCGGGUCGGAUUCGUUCUCGCGCAGGAAACAGAUCCGAAAAGUGAUGCACUAAUCGGAAGUUUCCCGGAGUUUGGACGGUCGGAUCGAGCUGAAUUUUUGGGAGGUGGCAUAUAUGGGAAUUCCGCAGCCGAUCAACGGUUGGAUCUUCCAAAGGACGUCCGAGCUAGAUGCUGGACACCCCGCUCCAAACUCGUCCGGAUUCUCGUCCAGAUUCAACAGGGCUCCGGUAUAUCGGAGAUUGCCGGAGGUUCCUCCAACGGAACUCGACGAAAUUUUCGCAGGGUUGUUGUAGACUUAAUUCCGCAUAAUUCCACUGAAGCAAUCGUUUAGGCGAUACUCGAGGAGGCGGUGGCGGCUGAUACAAGUUUGCUGUCCAGAAAAACAGCACAGUUGCCUGAGGGCAAUGUUGACGUUGAGCCCCCGGGCUCCCUGGAUGAUUCCUUCAUGAUCUUGACAGAGAUCGGAGUUGAUGUUGAUGAAGGCCCUCAUCCGAACAUGACGAUCGGAGGUAGGGCGCGGUCCUUGGUUGAACCAAGAUGACCAGUCGAGCUGGUGACGAAGAUGCCGAAGUUGCAGUUGAUCUGCAGGCGAGCCAUCGACCUUUUGCCGAACACACAGCGGAGCUCUCAAUGAAAGCACCAAUGUCGGUGUCAAAACCGGCGGAUCUCGGGUAGGGGGUCCCGAACUGUGCGUCUAGGCGGAUGGUAACAGAAGGCAAGGGACACGAUGUUUUACCCAGGUUCGGGCCCUCUCGAUGGAGGUAAAACCCUACGUCCUGCUUGAUUAAUAUUGAUGAUAUGGGUAGUACAAGAGUAGAUCUACCACGAGAUCGUAGAGGCUAAACCCUAAAAGCUAGCCUAUGGUAUGAUUGUUGUUGUAUAUCUCUAUCGACUAGCCUGGCCUCGGUUUAUAUAAUGCACCAGAGGCCUAGGAUAACAAGAGUCCUAGCCGAAUACGCCGGUGGGGGAGGAGUCCUUGUCUUGAUCGCCAAGUCUUGUGGAACCUUCCUUGUAUGCGGCAACUGUCCGGACUGGCCCAUGAGUAUACGGCCAUGGGGAUCCUCGGCCCAAUCCAACUGAUCGGGAGACGACGUGGUGAGUACCCCCUAGUCCAGGACACCGUCAAUGACCUUUGCUGAAAAUAGGACAUAUGGAGUACCCGAAUUUGCCGGGACGGAAUUUAAUCGACAUUCUGGCAAACUCAAGGGCCUCUCGGGGUACCUGCAAAAUCAUUAUCCCACCCCUGCCCCGCUGCAACCCCACAGCACCCCCACAAUAUCAUCACGACACGAUAGUCGGAGACAAAACCCAACAAUAUAUCUUCUCGCCAUGGAACCCUACCCUGGUUCUCCUUUCUUCCUCUUUUUUCACUUAAACCUGCAAACAUGUAGGGAAAGCAAUUAAUACAAGGCACAAAAAUCCCGGGUCACACCUUUAGCCUUUCUGUUGGCUCAGACAUGAAGCCAAAAGAGAACAUUUUCAGAUUUCUGCACAGAUACUCUGUAGCUAUCUAGUAUUGCUUUCAGUUUGACAUAAGCAGAAUCACAAACAUAUACUGCUGCCAUGGAGUAUUUAAAUUAGUAUUUCUAUGAAUUCCAUUUGUUUGCAUAUACUUGCCAUCACAAACUUCGGCUGAUGAUAAUUAGUACUUGAGGUCAUCUUCAAGGAGUAUAUAAAUUAUUAUAUGAAAACUUUACAAGGCAAUGUGCUACUUGCUUAAAUCUCUGUCCAAUGCUAUUUACAAGACAAACAACAGGUGGCAAAGCCCAGUGUUAAAAAAAGGCCUCCAUCACAACAUGGAAAAUGCGUUGGCCUGUGAAGAGGUGAAACCACUGGGUAUGUUUGUUGUACAGAAUUUACGCAGCGCCCUGACGAUUAAUUAGUUAAGUUUGCAACUUCAUACUCAUCAUAUACCUGCCUACUUGGGUGCCUACCAAAAACAAACAACAUGAUUUCCAUACUAAGAUAGACUUUCACCAUCACAGAUUCCAAACAGCCUGGCCCUAGCAAGGGAAUGGACUAAAGAAACUGACAAGAAAAUUAAUCAAGCUAGGACACAACAUGGCAAAAUGUAUACUAUAAACAGGGGAUAGUCGACAUAUCUGCAUCUCCAGGCAGUAUCAUUCAACUAUAACACAUCAUCGCCCCUCUAAUAACUCCCAAAAUUCUUAUUCUACAAUAGAUAUUAUCCAGCUUCUACUAAAUGCAAGACCAAAUAGAACCACUUUAUAUUUUUCUUUUUUUACAUCAAAACUAAAACACUAGUCAAAUACAGUAGGAAAUAUAUUGCAUCCAACUAUCAUAGAUGCAGUGCAAGUGUGUAACUACUGACAACUGCUGUUGUGCUCCUUGAGCUCAGCCCUUAUAUUUUGAACAAUCCUAUACAGCUCUGUCUACCUGAAUAGAACAUGACAGCUUUGACCAAACAAUCAACAAGAGGAAAACAAUCAAACAUCUUGAUCAGCAAAUGAAUUAAGACUGAUUUAUUCACACUACUGAACUUUUGCUCUUAUACUUGCUCUUAUAACAUAUAGUCUAGAUAAACAUGACGUAACCAUACAACAAGCAUUUCAGAGGGAUAUCACCAUCUAGAGAAGCUGGGUUGAAGACAUUCAAAGAGGACUACUCAUUCCUAGCUUAUAGGGUUAAGGAGAAACACAAACAUCUCAUCUCCUCUCUGCUUAUAGCUCAUUCCUUCAAGUCUCUGUUCAAUGCUAUUUCUUAAAUCUUUGAAUUGCUCGAGACUAGCAGAGGGGUAGCUGCCCUAGGCCUCAAUUGUGACCACUAAACAAUGCUAGAGCAGAGAUUAAAUUAGCACUCUACUAACACUGCAGAAAACAUAGGAGCACUGCUAUGGUAGUUGCUAACUUGCUAUGGCAGUUGCUGACCAAAAUUAGCAAUUUUUUGAACCUAAUUUGACCUAAAUUCGAGAGGGAUUUGACCUAAACCUAGCAAAAGAGAGAAGAAGAGAGCAUGGCCGGGAGGGAGGAGAGGAGGAAGAGAGGAGAAGAGAGGCAGAGGGAGGAGGGCAAUGAAGAUUACCUGACCACGAUGAGGUGGUGGCCGGAGCGGAGACGACGAAGGGCGGAGACGGCGAGCUUGGGGGAGGCGAGGAUAGACGGCGGGGAGGUCACGAGGUGCUCGGGCCUCCUCUCCUGGUGGACGCUGGCCUCCUCCUCCUAGUGCUCCGGCGGUGACUCCGGCGGCGGGGGCGCGGGGGCGGCGGCGCACGUAGGGGCGGCGGCGCAAUGGGUCGGGGCAGCGGCGCGCAGUGGGUCGGGGCUGAGAGAGAUGUGAGAUUGGGGAUCGGGGAUUGGGGAUUUUAGUGGGGGGGGGGGGUUAGCAAUGGCGCACCUCCUAGUGGGGCGCCAUUAGUAACUUUUUUUUGGAUAGCAAUGGUGCACCUCCUAGCGGUGCGCCAUUAGUAACUUUUUUUUGAUAGCAAUGGUGCACCUCCUAGCGGUGCGCCAUUAGUAACUCUUUUUUUUAGAUUUUUAGUUGCAUUCAUUUGUGAAUUGGUAAAAAAUUUAUGAAUAUGGUAAAAUAUCAUCAAAUUUGAAAAAAUAUUCAUGAAAUCAAAAAGUGCCCAUGAAAUUUAAGCAGGAAAAGGAACACUGAAAAAUAAAAUACAAGAAUAAAUAAAAAUAAAAAUUUGUAUAUCAAUGGCGCACCUCCUUCGGGUGCGCCAUAAAUACCUUCAUAGCAAUGGCGCACCCUCCCCUGGUGUGCCAUUACUAACUGUUUUUUUUGGGAUUUUUAGUUGCAUCUAAUAGUUUCUUGAAAAUGACGAUCAAAUUUGAAAACAUUUAUGAAUGUGGAAAAAUAUCAUCAGAUUUCAAAACAUUUAUGAAAAAUAUGAAUAUGAAAACAUUUAUGAAUAUGAAAAAAUAUCAUCAAAUUUGUUAUUUGAAUUUUUUUUGGAUUUUUAGUUGCAUCUAAUAAUUUUUUAGAAAACAUUUAUGAAUAUGAAAAAAUAUCAUCAGAUUUCGAAAUAUUCAUGAAUUCAAAAAGUGCCGCCCAUUUCCAUAUGUCGAAAUACAAUCGAGAAAUGAAGGCUACAACUUAAAUACAAUCGAUCUUAGCUAGCUAUCUUUUCACAAUCUUCUUGCCCUUAUUUUUCGCAAAUGGAGUUCUUCUCUUGAAUGGACGUCCUUUAGGUAGGGUGGUCCUACUUCUCCUUGUGGUGUAUGCUGGUACUUCAUUGUCAUCGUCAUGUUCCAUCUUUGGGUCGCCGUACUUGUCGAAGUCUUGCUCAUUGGCGACUCCAUCCAUUCCGAUGAUCUUCCUUUUGCCUCUCCUCAUGACAACACGACUGGGCUUUGAUGGGUCGGUAAUGAAGAAGCAUUUGUCCACUUGGGAAGCCAGUACCCAUGGCUCAUUUUUCGCGGUGACGUUUGUGCCCGCGGUCUUGGAUUUGGCUUCGGGUAUAACCAUGGUGGUGAAAUACUGGUCUUCUUUUAGGACGCUCUUGGCCCAUAUGACAUGGAACAUCGGGACCUUCUCUCCAGCAUAGCUCAGCUCCCAGAUCUUCUCGAUCCUUCUGUAGUAUCUGUCCUUGUCGUUACCGGUGUAGGAUUCCAUCGUUACCCCGGAGUUCUGAUAACCAUCACUCUUCAUGUCCUUUCCCUUAGUGUAGAAUGUGUAGCCAUUGAUAUCGUACGCCUCAUACGUCAUCAGGUUGUGCUCGGCGCCCUGUGGCAAGGUGAAUAUGAGUUGUUCUUCCGCGGAAGAAUCCUCAUGUAAAGGGUACGACAGAAGCUUCUCCUUGAACCAAAGCGUGAAACAUGAGUUGUGCUCUUUGAUUAUAUCUCCGUCCGUCCUCUGUUGGCCUCGGUUAUUGUACAUCUUCUCAAUAAAGGUUUUGUUCUCUACCACCCAAGGAUCAACCACAUCUAUGUGUUGUAGCGCGACCAGGUUUGCUCUUUCAAAGUCGGCGAGUCGACCCUCAAAGUCGACAUGCAUUUCGCGGCGACCCUCAAAGUCGAGGUGCCUGUUGACGGGCAAACCAACGGGGUUCUCGAUGCCUAGAUAAUUCGUGCAGUAGGAGAUGCACUCUUCGGUCAGAAAGCCCAUGGCUAUGCUUCCCUCUGGACGUGACAUGUUGCGAAUGUAUCCUUUGAUGACGCCAUUCAUCCUUUCGAACGGCAUCAUGCUGUGCGGGAACGUCGGCCCGAGUUGGAUGAUAUCCUCCACGAUAUGGACCAGAAGAUGCACCAUAACAUCGAAGAAUGCGGGCGGGAAGUACAUGUCAAGCUCGCAUAGUAUCACCACGAUCUCUUCCUGUAGCCUUCUGAGUUGCCUCACGCCAACCGACUUUAGAGAGAUGACAUCGAAAAAGUUGCAUAGGCCAAAAAGCAUUUCACGGACGUGCGCGUCCAUGAUCCCACGGAUUGCAACUGGAAGUAUCUGCAUCAUCAGCACGUGACAGUCGUGAGACUUCAUCCCGCUGAACUUCUGCUUCGCUGAGUCUAGGUAUCUUCUUAUCUUCCCCGCGUAACCGUAAGGAAGUUUUACUCCUACGAGGCAGGUGAAAAACUGCUCGAUCUCCUCCUGACUUAGAGUGAAGCACGCGGGAGGGAAGUCAUUUCCGAUCUUCUUGGCCUUUUUGCCUUUGCGACGACUUUUCGUGUCCUUCGCCUCAUCAUCAUCAUCAUCAUCAUCAUCACCAUCAUUAGCGUGAAGCUCCUCCCUGAUGCCCAUUGAUUUCAAGCCUGCCCUUGCUUUCGGCCCAUCUUUGGUCCUCUCUGGCAUGUUGAGCAGGGUACCAAGCAGACUCUCGCACACGUUCUUCGUGAUAUGCAUGACAUCAAGGAUGUGAGGCACACGGAGGAUCUUCCAGUACGGCAAGUCCCAGAAAACAGACCUCAUUUUCCAUACCUUCAGCAGCGGCUCUGGCGCCUUUCGCUUCUUUCCCGGCUCUGGCGCCUUUCCCGGCAGUGGGCACUCUUUCCAAUUUUUCAAUAGCUCGUCUAUUUCCUCGCUGCUCCUCGUACGCGGGCGUCUUCGGGGUUCGGUUUCACCAUCGAACAGAUCCUUGCGUUUUCUCCAUGAGUAAUCAUCGCGAAGCCACCUUCGAUGUUCCAUGAACACGAUUUUCGAAGACCCGGGAUCUCUAUCUAGCUAGCGAUACGUUUUGUCAUCCAUGCACCUGAUGCAUCCAGAAAAUCCGUGGACCACCUGCCCCGCGACAUAUCCGUAACCGAGAUAGUCGUGCACCGUCGUGAGCAGUGUGGCUCUCAUAGGGAAAUGUUCUUUCUCUGCGCCUUCCCACGUAUUGGCUUGCGUUUUCCACAGCGUGUCUAGCUCCUCUUUCAGCAGCCCUAGAUACAGAUUGAUGUUGUUCCCUGGUUGUUUCGGCCCUUCAAUUAGCAUACUCAUGUGAAUGUACUUCCUCUUCAUGCACAACCAGGCGGGAAGGUUGUACAUCCACACAAACACAGGCCAAGUGCUAUGUGUGCUUCUCUGGCUUCCAAACAGAUUGACUCCAUCGGUGCUCGCGCCCAGCACGAUGUUCCUUGGAUCAUCCCCAAAUUCUGGGUGUUUGAAGUUCAACGCUUGCCACUGGCUCGCAUCCUUAGGGUGACUCGGCAUCUUGUCUUUUUUAUUUAUCUCUGGAUCAUUUGUGUCAAAUUACCGCUUCUUCUCCUUCCUAUCCGCGUGCCAACGCAGGAGCUUUGCUACCUUAGGGUCCACGAAAUACCAAUGCAGACGAGGAGUGAUCGGAAAGUACCACACCACUUUUUGAGGAGCUUUCUUCCUCUUCUUGUAUCGACUAACGCCGCACACCGAACAUAUGGUAGACUCCGCAUGCUCGUCCCGAUAAAUGAUGCAAUUGUUCAUGCACACAUGGUAUUUCACGUGCGGUAAAUCCAUAGGACAAACGAUUUUCUUUGCCUUCUCGAAACUGGCCGGGCACUUGUUCCCCUUGGGAAGACGUUCGUGCCAGAAUGACAUGUUCUCGUCGAAGCAUGUGUCGGUCAUUUUGUGUUUUACCUUCAUCUCUAGAGCCAUGAGCGUUACUUUCAGGCGGGUAUCCUCGGGCCUGCAUCCUUCAUACAAUGGAGUAACCGCGUCUAUCUCCACUUGAUCCAGCUUGGCUUUCUCUCGGGCGGCAGCUCUUGCAUUAUCAGUCUGCUUGAGAAGCAGCUCUUGAAUAUGAGGGUCCUGCACCCAGCCCAUCGAUGGUCCAUCGUCGUCUGCUCCGGCAUCUUCAUCUUCAUGAUCAUGCCCUUCGUCUGCUCCGGCAUCUUCCUCAUCAUCAUGUCCGGCAUCUUCUACAUGAUGACUGUGUACUGCAUCUACUUCGUGAUCAUGUCCUGGAGAUUCUUCGUCUUCUCGCCCGCCCACGCCGUGGUUGUCUUGCUGCCCUUCCUCAUUUCUUGCCCGGCCCCCAUGGACGACUUCAUAAUCAUCUUCAUCACCUUGCCACUGAUAGCCAUCCAUGAAACCACGCAAGAGCAGGUGGUCCCGCGCCUGUAUGGAAUCCGGGUCUAUAAGGCUCUUCAGCUUGCAUCUUCGACACGGACAUUUUAUCUCCGUCUUGUUCUUUUGAAGCAUCUCGGCCUUCACGGAGCUCAAAAACCUAUUCAUGAUGCCUUCGGUCAUCGUGCGGACCAUGGUCGCCUGCGGGGGUAGAGCAAAACGAUAUUUUAGAACCCAAAAAAAUUGGCAUGACUUUGCCUAAAAAUAGGACCAAAAAGAAUGCAUAGUGCCAAAUUCUUGCCGAAACGGAAAUGAAUCAACAUUCCAGCAAAAUAUUGGCAACUAUCGCAUUUCAAAUACUGGUACCUGCAAACACAAAUAUAUGCAACACCACAAAUAUACGUAGAUCUAGGCCAACAAAAGUGCAUGUGCACGUUGUUGGAGGGAGAAAAAAGUAGAUCUACAACAUAAGAAAGCUUUCCCCUUACUUACCUAUCAAAAAAAGGAAAUUUAACCACUUAAUUUGGGUGACUCUAUGGUGCAAAUGAGGUGAGAAGGAGGAGGCACCUGAGACAAGUUUGGAGGAGGAGGUGGAGAGAAUGAAGUGGGGAAAGUGAGUGUGGUAGGUGUCUGUCCAAAAUAUCUAGCUGCUCCCAGGUUACUAAUGGCGCACCACCUAGCAAUGCACCAUUAGUAACCUUGGUUACUUAUGGCACACCUGUUACGUGCUGCGCCAUUACUAGUUUUGCAAAAAAAAAUAAAAAAAAAUUGUUAUUAGUGGCGCACCAUGUUUGUGGUGCGCCAUUAAUAGUUUGAACUAGUAAUGGCACACGGUUGCCUAGUGCACCAUUACUAGUUUUGAAAAAAAAUUAAAAAAAAUUGUUAGUAGUGGCGCACAGAGUGUGUAGUGCGCCAUUACUAGUUAAAACUAGUAAUGGCGUGAUACGUCUCCAACGUAUCUAUAAUUUAUGAAGCAUUCAUUCUAUUUUAUUAUCUAUUUUGAAUGAUUACGGGCUUUAUUAUACACUUUUAUAUUACUUUUGGGACUAACCUAUUAACCGGAGGCCCAGUCAAUAUUGAUGUUUUAUUGCCUGUUUCAGUAUUACGAAGAAAAGGAAUAUCAAAUGGAGUCCAAAUGGAAUGAAACCUUUGGCAGCGUGAUUUUUGGAAAGAUUAUGAUCCAGGAGACUUGGAGUGCAAGUCGGGGGUCAUCAAGGAAGCCACGAGACAGGGGGCGCGCCCACCCCCCGGGCGUGCCCUACCCUCUCGUGGGCCCCUCGAGGCUCCCCUGACCGACUUCUUUCGCCUAUAUAAGCCUACGUACCCUAAAAACAUUGAAUAUCAAGAUAGAUCAAGAGUUCCGCCGCCGCAAGCCUCUGUAGCCACCAGAAACCUCUCGGGAGCCCUUUCCGGAACCCUGCCGGAGGGGGGUCAUUCACCGGUGGCCAUCUUAAUCAUCCCGACACUCUCCAUGAUGAGGAGGGAGUAGUUCACCCUCGAGGCUGAGGGUAUGUACCAGUAGCUAUGUGUUUGAUCUCUCUCUCUCAUGUUCUCUCUCGUGUUCCCUCUAUGACACGAUCUUGAUGUAUCCCGAGCUUUGCUAUUGUAGUUGGAUCUUAUGAUGUUUCUCCCCCUCUACUCUCUUGUAAUGGAUUGAGUUUUCCCCUUUGAAGUUAUCUUAUCAGAUUGAGUCUUUAAUGAUUUGAGAACACUUGAUGUAUGUCUUGCCGUGAUUAUCUAUGGUGACAAUGGGAUAUCAUGUGCCACUUGAUGUAUGUUUUGGUGACCAACUUGCGAGUUCCGCCCAUGAACCUAUGCAUAGGGAUUGGCACACGUUUUCGUCCUGACUCUCCGGUAGAAACUUUGGGGCACUCUUUGAAGUACUUUGUGUUGGUUGAAUAGAUGAAUCUGAGAUUGUGUGAUGCAUAUCGUAUAAUCAUGCCCACGGAUACUUGAGGUGACAAUGGAGUAUCUAGGUGACAUUAGGGUUUUGGUUGAUUUGUGUCUUAAGGUGUUAUUCUAGUAUGAACUCUAUGAUGGAUUGAGCGGAAAGAAUAGCUUCAUGUUAUUUUACUACGAACUCUUGAAUAGAUAGAAUAGAAAGGAUAACUUUGAGGUGGUUUCGUACCCUAUCAUAAUCUCUUCGUUUGUUCUCCGCUAUUAGUGGCUUUGGAGUGACUCUUUGUUGCAUGUUGAGGGAUUGUUAUAUGAUCUAUCUAUGUUAUUAUUGUUGAGAGAACUUGCACUAGUGAAAGUAUGAACCCUAUGCCUUGUUUCCUACCAUUACAAUACCGUUUACGCUCACUUUCAUCAUUAGUUACCUUGCUGUUUUUGUAAUGUCAGAUUACAAAUACCUUUAUCUACCAUCCAUAUUGCACUUGUAUCACCAUCUCUUCGCCGAACUAGUGCACCUAUACAAUUUACCAUUGUAUUGGGUGUGUUGGGGACACAAGAGACUCUUUGUUAUUUGGUUUCAGGGUUGUUUGAGAGAUACCAUAUUCAUCCUACGCCUCCUACGGAUUGAUAAACCUUAGGUCAUCCACUUGAGGGAAAUUUGCUACUGUCCUACAAACCUGUGCACUUGCAGGCCCAACAACGUCUACAAGAAGAAGGCUGUGUAGUAGACAUCAAGCUCUUUUCUGGCGCCAUUGCCGGGGAGGUGAGUUCUUGAAGGUAUAUCUUUAGAUCUUGCAAUCGAAUCUUUUUGUUUCUUGUUUUAUCACUAGUUUAGUUUAUAAAAUAAAACUACAAAAAAAUGGAAUUGAGUUUGUCACAUACGCUUCAUCUUUUUAAUAUCUUUCGUGAGAAUGAUGGAAAGGAAAAUUGUGCUCAAUUUCUAGAAGAAGAAUGCAUUAAAAUAUCUGGUACUAGAUCUUUGUAUGAUGAGCAUGAUUGCAAUGUUAUUAGUGUGAACUCUUUGAAUAUCCAUAGUACUAAUGAUGAUUGCACUAGUUAUGAUGAAAAUAUCUCUUAUGAGCAUGUCAACUUUUGUGGAGUGCAUGUCUGCAUGAACACACCGAAUAGAGAAGAUAUAUAUUGCAAGAGGCAUAAGCAUUUAGAAACUAAAUGGUUUCAAGAAAGGCUUAAUGUUAGUGCUGAAAAUUGAAGAUAUAUUUACCGUUGUGAACUUUGCAAUAAAAUUGGUCAUUUAAAUCUCCGAUGCAAAUUGUUUCAUGAUCGAAUCGUGUUGAAAAAUUGUGAUGAUUUGAUCUCCCUUGCUCAUUACAAUGAACUUAGUUUGCUUUUUAGUUAUGAAGAAUUAAAACGUGCAACUAAGCUUAUUCCAAAAUUUAAUCUUGGGCAUUUCCUUGAUAUUAAUCUAGAGAAGAUUUAUAUGUAUUGUACGGUGAAUUGCAUUGAAAAUCCUUAUAUUGCCAAUUACCUAAAGAAAAGAAAGCAAAUAGAAGAUGAAGAGAAUAGUAAUGAAAGGGAAGAGACUUCCCAACCUCCUCCUAUUAUUUCUUAUGAUGAUUCAGGUAACGAGGAGGAGCUUUCUAUUCAACCAAUCCCAUCAAUAAAGAAGGUUGAACCCACACAUAAUGUGAAGAAGAAAAGGAAGAGAAGGGGCAGCAAAGGUAAAAAGGUAUCCCUCCCAAAUGAUGUUGCUCCUACUACUCAUUGUGAUGAUGAUAAUUGCUAUACUAUUGGUGCUAUCCAUACUAUUGAUGAUGAUUAUGCUUAUGAUAUGAAAAGGCCCAAGCUUGGAGAAGCUAUGUUUGAUGAGGAUGAAAUAUUUGAGAAUAUAUUUGCUGAAAUUAAUGAUUGUCCCAAGCUUGGGGAUGCUAUGUUUAAUGAAUGUGAUAUUUUUAGCCUCCCAAGUUUUGAUAUGCGAAGUUGUUAUGAUGAUAGCAUGCCUUGUACCUAUGAUGAUUAUAUUGAUGAAAGUGGGUUUGGAAGAGUGUCAACUUUAGGUAGUAUUGAUCCCACUAUUUUGGAGGAUGUUGAAUCUUAUAAUAUUUAUGAAAGUGAAUCUCGAAGAGUGUCAACUUUAUUUAGUAAUGAUUCCACUAUCUUGGAAGAGGUUUCAAUCGAUUAUGAUGAGAACAAAGUUGCUACUUAUGAUGAUUAUUGUGAUGAAACUUAUGCUAUAAAAGUAGUGAUGAUUAUAUUUAUAAAACUUGUCAUGAUUAUGAUUACCCUUUCUCUAAACAUUACUCUUUUAAUAUGGAAAAAUUUAUAGUAUUCAAGUCUUUUAUGAUACUCCCACCAUUCCGAAUGAGAAGAAUUUUGCUUAUGUGGAGAGUAGUAAAUUUUCUAUGCUUGUAGAUCAUGAAAAGAAUGCUUUAGGUGCUGGUUAUAUUGUUGAAUUAAUUCAUGAUGCUACUGAAAACUAUUAUGAGGGAGGAACAUAUGCUUGUAGGAAUUGCAAUAAUAUCAAGUUUCCUCUGUGUGUGCUUAAAAUCUUGAAGUUAUGUUUAUUUUGCCUUCCUAUGCUAGUUGAUUAUUGUUCCCACAAGUUGUUUGCUCACAAAAUCCCUAUGCAUAGUAAGUGGGUUAGACUUAAAUGUGCUAGUCAUAUUCUUCAUGAUGCUCUCUUUAUGUUUCAAUUCUUAUCUUUUAUGUGAGCAUCAUUGAAAUCAUCAUGCCUAGCUAGAAAGGCAUUAAAGAAAAGCGCUUGUUGGGAGACAACACAGCAUUUAACCUUACUGUUUUUGUGUAUUAACAUGAUUAUGCUACUGUAAUAAUCAUGUUUUAUAUCUUUUGUUUCAAUAAAGUGUCAAGUAGAAUCUUUGGGAAGACUUGGGUGAAGUCUUCAUGAUCUUGCUGUGAAAAACAGAAGCUUUAGAGCUCACAAGAUUAGCUGCCAUUUUUUACAAAAGAGUGAUUUUAGGUUUAUUCUUUUUGAAGAUGAUUAAUAGACAAAUUACUCAGGUCCACCAAUUUAUUUCAUAAUUUUUGGGGUUCGAUAAGUAUACGUUUGAUACAGAUUACUACAGACUGUUCUGUUUUUGACAGAUUCUGUUUUCAUUGUGUUGUUUGCUUAUUUUGAUGAAUCUAUGACUAGUAUGUAAGGGUAUGAACCAUAGAGAAGUUAGAAUACAGUAGAUAUUACACCAAUAUUAAUUUAGAAUGAGUUCAUUAUAGUACCUAAGUGGUGAUUUAUUUUCUUAUACUAACAGAGCUUACGAGUUUUGUGUUGAGUUUUGUGUGGUUGAAGUUUUCAAGUUUUUGGUAAGGAUUCGAUGGACUAUGGAAUAAGGAUUGGCAGGAGCCUAAGCUUGGGGAUGCCCAAUGAACCCCAAGGUAAUAUUCAAGGACAACCAAGCAACUAACCCUGGGGAUGCCCCGGAAGGCAUCCUCUCUUUCGUCUUCGUUCAUCGGUAACUUUACUUGGAGCUAUAUUUUUAUUCACCACAUGAUAUGUGUUUUGUUUGGAGCGUCAAUUUAUUUUGUUAGUAUUUGCUUGCUGUUAUUUAGAAUAAUGUUUUGCAUCUAUAUUUUCAAUAAAAAUGUCAAGGAUAGCCUUUACCAUGCCUAUUUUGCUAGUAUACAUGUUGCUGUUUAAAAACAGAAAGUUCACCGAUGUUGCAAAAAUUCCCUAGAAAAGUCAGAGAGUGAUAUAAUGUUGAAUCUUUUUUCAUAGUGAGCUCUGAUAAAUCUUGUACAGCGUAUAUUUUUCUUAUACUUUUGGAGUUAGGGAAGUAUGAUGAAUCUUGCAUUCUUUACAGACUAUACUGUUUUGGCCGACUACUGUUAUGGUUGCAUUGUUUGCAUAUAAUUGCUUGUUUAAUGAUUCUAUUUGAGGAUAGGAGUACUAAAUAUGCAGAGACAUUUAGUAUCCAAUGUUGAAUAAUAAUGUUAGUGAUUUGGUACAUUAGAAAAUGAUAAGGUUUUGCAUUGGUUUAUACUAACCUAUCUCACGAGUUCUUGUUGAGUUUGUUGUGGAUGAAGCUUUUGAUAAAAAGAGAAACCGUGACAUGAAAGGAAUUAAGGAGACACAAAAGCUCAAGCUUGGGGAUGCCCAAGGCACCCAAAGAUAAUAUUUCAAGAAGUCUCAAGCAUCUAAGGUUUGGGAUGCCCCGGUAGGCAUCCCACAUUUCUUCUUCAACAACUAUCGGUUAGUAUCGUUUGAACCUAAGUUUUUGCUUCUUCACAUGAGUUGUGCUAUCCUUGCAAUGUCAUUUUGUUUUGCUUUGCUUGCUGUUUGAAUAAAAUACCAAGAUCUGAAAUUCUUAAUUGAGAGAGAGCCUUCACAUAGUUACAUAAUUAUUUAGCUACUCAUUGAUCUUCACUUAUAUCUUUUUGGAGUAGUUUUUCAUUUACUCGUGUGCUUCACUUAUAUCCUAUGAGUAAAUGGUUGAAUGAGUUGAAUGUCAUAAAUCUGAAAUUAUAUAUGUUUCAUUUGCUUAUCCCAUGGGGAGUAAUGACUUCACAUCUAAGAAGUAGAGGUAGUAAUUUAUUGGCGGUUAGCAAGCAUUAUAUUGGUCAUUUGAACAAUUCAUGAAAGAAUAUUGAAGGAAGAGAGAUUUCACAUAUAAAUAUAUUAUCAUAGACAUCUUUUAUAAUUGUGAGCACUCAUUAAGUAUAACAUGCUAAAGAGUUGAUGUUGGACAAGGAAGACAACGUAAUGGGUUAUGUUUUCUCACAUCUCAGUUAAAGUAUAUUGUCAUGGAUCAUUCAAACAUGUUGAGCUUGCCUUUCUCCCCUUGCUAGCCUAAAUAUCUGUACUAAGCGGGAAUACUGCUUGUGCAUCCAAUAUCCUUAAACCCAGUUUUUGCCAUGAGUGUCCACCACACCUACCUAUAUGCGGUAUUUACGUGUCGUUCCAAGUAAAUUUUCAUGUGUCAAACUCUAAACCUUCAAAUUAUAAUCUGUUUUGUAUGCCCGAAUUGCUCAUGUAGCAACUAGGGGCUGUCAGUGUCUUCCAUGCUAGGUGGAUUAUUCUCAAGAGGAGUGGACUCCGCUCCUCAUUCACGAGAAAGGGGCGGUAACCGGGAUGCCCAGUCCCAUGAGCAAAUAAAACUCCCCCAGGUUUGAUGUUAGUUGGAGGCACCCGUUGUUUCGGGCAAGCCAUGGAUUGAUGAUUGUUGAUGGAGGGGGAGUAAAAACUUUUACCAUUCUGUUUGGGAACCGCCUAUAAUGUAUGUAGUAUGGAAGAUAUUGGGAACUCUUGGUUGUUAUGUUGACAUUGAGAUCAUACCUCUCAAAAUUAUUUAUCUCUAUUUCAAAAUCGAGCUCUGGCACCUCUGCAAAUCCCUGCUUCCCUCUGCGAAGGGCCUAUCUUUUACUUUAUGUCAUUUACUUUACGCAAGAGUCAAGGUGAUCUUCACCUUUCCCUUUUUCAUUUUAUCCUUUGGAAAGCACUUUGUGUUAGGGUGAUCCUGAUAUAUAUAUCCAAUUGGAUGUAAGUUAGCAUGAACUAUUAUUGUUGACAUCACCCAAAGGUGAAUAUGUUUGGAGGCAACAUUAUAAGCCCCUAUCUUUCUCUGUGUCUGAUUAAAACUCCGUAACCACAAGUACUGCGUGAGUGUUAGCAAUUGUAGAAGACUAUAUGAUAGUUGAGUAUGUGAAGUUUGCUAAAUCGAAGCUCUGACAUAUACCCUUCCUGAAAAAAGGAUGAAUUGCAAUUGUUUGAUGACUAAGAAUGAAGUUUGCUAGUUUUCAAGAAAGUUUAUGGUCUAUGCUUUAACAUGUGAAUUACUUGUUACUUAAUUAUGAAAAGUUUUAUGGGAUGAACUACUGUUAUGAAAUAUAUUGAUGCUAGUAAAGGUGAUUGAAAUUAUCAUUGAUCAAACUUAUGCACCUCUAGCAUUCACACUUCAGAAAUUCUUUCUUUUAUCAUUUACCUACUCGAGGACGAGCAGGAAUUAAGCUUGGGGAUGCUGAUACGUCUCCAACGUAUCUAUAAUUUAUGAAGCAUUCAUGCUAUUUUAUUAUCUGUUUUAAAUGAUUACGGGCUUUAUUAUACACUUUUAUAUUACUUUUGGGACUAACCUAUUAACCGGAGGCCUAGCCCAUAUUGUUGUUUAAUUGCCUGUUUCAGUAUUUCGAAGAAAAGGAAUAUCAAACGGAGUCCAAACGGAAUGAAACCUUCAGCAGCAUGAUUUUUGGAAAGAUUAUGAUCCAGAAGACUUGGAGUGCAAGCCGGGGGGUCAUCGAGGAAGCCACGAGACAGGGGGCACGCCCACCCCCUGGGCGCGCCCUACCCUCUCGUGGGCACCUCGAGGCUCCCCCGACAGACUUCUUUCGCCUAUAUAAGCCUACGUACCCUAAAAACAUCGAAUAUCAAGAUAGAUCGGGAGUUCUGCCGCCGCAAGCCUCUGUAGCCACCAGAAACCUCUCGAGAGCCCUUCCCGGCACCCUGCCGGAGGGGGAUCCUUCACCGAUGGCCAUCUUUCAUCAUCCCGGCACUCUACAUGACGAGGAGGAAGUAGUUCACCCUCGAGGCUGAGGGUAUGUACCAAUAGCUAUGUGUUUGAUCUCUCUCUCUCGUGUUCUCUCUCGUGUUCCCUCUAUGGCAUGAUCUUGAUGUAUCCCGAGCUUUGCUAUUGUAGUUGGAUCUUAUGAUGUUUCUCCCCCUCUACUCUCUUGUAAUGAAUUGAGUUUUCCCCUUUGAAGUUAUCUUAUCAGAUUGAGUCUUUUAUGAUUUGAGAACACUUGAUGUAUGUCUUGCCGUGAUUAUCUGUGGUGACAAUGGGAUAUCAUGUGCCACUUGAUGUAUGUUUUGGUGAUCAACUUGCGGGUUCCGCCCAUGAACCUAUGCAUAGGGGUGGGCACGCGUUUUCAUCUUGACUCUCCGGUAGAAACUUUGGGGCACUCUUUGAAGUACUUUGUGUUGGUUGAAUAGAUGAAUUUGAGAUUGUGUGAUGCAUAUCGUAUAAUCAUGCCCACGGAUACUUGAGGUGACAAUGGAGUAUCUAGGUGACAUUAGGGUUUUGGUUGAUUUGUGUCUUAAGGUGUUAUUCUAGUAUGAACUCUAUGCUGGAUUGAGCGGAAAGAAUAGCUUCAUGUUAUUUUACUACGAACUCUUGAAUAGAUAGAAAAGAAAGGAUAACUUUGAGGUGGUUUCGUACCCUAUCAUAAUCUCUUCGUUUGUUCUCCGCUAUUAGUGGCUUUGGAGUGACUCUUUGUUGCAUGUUGAGGGAUUGUUAUAUGAUCUAUCUAUGUUAUUAUUGUUGAGAGAACUUGCACUAGUGAAAGUAUGAACCCUAUGCCUUGUUUCCUACCAUUACAAUACCGUUUACGCUCACUUUCAUCAUUAGUUACCUUGCUGUUUUUAUAAUGUCAGAUUACAAAUACCUUUAUCUACCAUCCAUAUUGCACUUGUAUCACCAUCUCUUCGCCGAACUAGUGCACCUAUACAAUUUACCAUUGUAUUGGGUGUGUUGAGGACACAAGAGACUCUUUGUUAUUUGGUUUCAGGGUUGUUUGAGAGAUACCAUAUUCAUCCUACGCCUCCUACGGAUUGAUAAACCUUAGCUCAUCCACUUGAGGGAAAUUUGCUACUGUCCUACAAACCUGUGCACUUGCAGGCCCAACAACGUCUACAAGAAGAAGGCUGUGUAGUAGACAUCAUGGCGCACUAUACCCUGGUGCGCCAUUACUAGUUUUGGAAGAAAAAAAUUAUUAGUAGUGAUGCACCGUGGGUGUGGUGCGUCAUUACUGAUAUGGACACUAAUGGCGUACCUACACAUGGUGCACCACUGCUAUAUAGCAGUGGCGCACCAUAUUUGUGGUGCGCCAUUAAUGUUCAUAUUAGCUAUAGCCCUUUUCCUAGUAGUGAUAGCAAUGGAAAAGAUUGAAGCACUUGUCGUUGUGUUGGACCUUGAAUGCCUCCAAAGCUUGAAAUGCCUACAAAUGUUUUCAUGCAAGCAUGUUGGCACAAAUGGUAUGUAAAAUAAACACGCAAGCAUGAACUUGAUGACACAAAAGAGGGCAGCUUGCUACCAUACCAUGUCUUGCAUGCCAAUGCCGCUCACGGAGCGGGCCUUGACGCUCUCAAGAGUGGCAUGAAACUUGUUGCACUCGUGUUGGAUCACUCUCCAUUGCUUCGAAAUGGACACCCACCCACACGUGCUCACAAUUUGGUAAGGAGAAAACUUCAAGCGCUCAUGAAACUCCCGGUGGACACGAAUCCAAAAAGUUGAAUGCUUUUGUUCGGCGCCGGUCUUGGGAUCUUGUCCAAUGUCCCUUCAACACUCGCAAAGAAGUUUGUUCUCGGCCGCCGUGUAUGCCUUUGUGCUCUUGCUCUUGCGCUUCGGCUUCGGCCCGACGGCUUGGUUGGCGAGCUUAUCCUCAAACAAAGGCUCCACUUUGAUGUCGCACUCGUCUUCUUCCUCUUGCCCGUAGUCGUCCGGAAACUCGUGGUCAAGUGAGAAGCCGUCAAGGUCCAUGCCGACCUGAUCACGCAUGAAGGUCGACUGAUCAUAGCCAGCGCACGGCUUGAACGCCCCGCGGCUGUCCUGGCUUUGUGUCUCCUCGGGGUCAUAGCCAGUAGUCGGCGCACUGCCCUCGAAGAUGAGGUUCUGCAUGUAGUCCUCGUUGCUGGCGGCCGGCAUUUCGUCAAACAGGUUGCGGCGUGUACCACGUCGGCCUGCAUCUGCCGCACGCGUUUACUUGCACCUCCGGAUGACGAGCCGCCGGCUACCGGUGUGGCGUUGAGGUAGAUGGGCGCGUGUGCGGGCGUGGAAGGCGCCACCACGCUCACGUCGGGUGAGCACUCCCCGGAGAGGCGCGAGACCUGCGGGUACACGUGGAAGCCAGGUAUCGGGAUGCAAGCCGACGCGCGGGGUGAGUCGGGCAGCACCAUCCAAGGGAACGUGGACGAGCCGGUGCUGGCCACGGCGGCGUUGACAAGGCCGUGUUGGCUAGGGUUUAACCCUAGCAUGUAGAGUGUCUCCCUCGUUGUCGCCGCGACGCGGGUGUUGGUGACCUCCUGCUGCGCAGCGGCGGCAACGGCGGCAGGCGAGAUGGCUUCACCCCUCGCAUCCGUGGCGUGCCUCCGGCUCUUCCUCUUGGCCGACUCCGCCGCCCGGUGUUCGGGCGUCAGCGCCUUCUUUCGCUUGGUCGCGGCGGCGGUUUUUCGCAGGGCACGAGGCUUGCCUUUGCCGGAGGGGGCGAUCUUCAUGCCGGACGAGGCGACGCCAGCGGCGGCGUCGAGGUCAAGGUCGUCGUUCAUGGCGGGUGCGGGAAGGGAGCGCACGCGGGCAGGAGGGUUUUAGGAAAAAAUAGGUGGAAAUGAUGCUUGCUACCACUGACCGGUGGGCCCGGGGAGAAGAGUAGGCGCGCGCGUCAAUCCCGUGUCCGAACCGAUGCUAAUCAGGCUAAAAAAUGGGCCGGAAAUGGAUCGCCCGCAGACGAAAAACGAACGCGCGUUCAUUGGGUCGGCGCGUUGUGCCGCCUUUUGUGUCCACGCCGAUCCUAACGGACGGCGACGGACGAAAUGGGUCGUCUCGUUGCAGUUGCUAGCCUUAAACAAGUUCAGGGUCAGGCAUGCGUAUGGUCUCACUUUCACUCCAAUUCACUGCAGCAACGACGGGGGGGCGGAUAUUCGGAUACGCGAUGCUCGAUCGGACCGGCGUGCCGGCGUCCGUACGGCGGUGCAGUGCGCCCAGACGGGCCGACCUGAACAAAACCCCGUGCCGAUACCUGCAGGCGCAGUCAUGCAUCACUGCGCUCUCGAGAAACACAUGUUCCUCGCUUGGCAACCCCGUGCGUCCACCGCCACUGAUCGAUCCUUUCUCCGAACACACUUAAUUUCGCCGCAGCAGAAAAGUGAUUGUGGCCACUUUCCUAUACUCUCCAGCCCACUCGAUGCCGCCAUAGGUGAUUUGGUAGCUACUAGUACACGUAGCUAGGGUGUCAAUUUCGUCGGUAAUCAAUUGUGCCACAGCAAACUGAUUGCUCCUGCCUAAAAUUGUCAGAUAUUUGUUGCCUACCUAUGGACCAACCGAGGUACUCCCUCCGUUCCGAAUUAUUCGUCGCAAAAAUAAAUGUAUCUAGAUAUAUUUUAGUUCUAGAUAUAUCUAUUUCCGUGACGAGUAAUUUGAAACGGAGGGAGUACCACUAGCAGGCGCGCCAGGCACAUGGGCUCAGAGGAAGCACUUCACUCUCGACAGUGGUCAGUGGGCAUCUAGCAGGAUAUUCGUAUCAUGCGAAAAGCGUUCACACGCACGCCCCCAUCGUGUAUCAUCGACUUCCCAAGAUCCAGGCGUACGUACGCACUGCAACUGUAAAAAAAAACACGGUCGGUAGGCAGGUGGCCAGUAGCCGUGCGACCACGGCCGCAGCCACGCACGCACGCCGAGCCGAUCCUCCGGCCCUGCGUACGUGUCCCGCUCGCGCGCGGUCGACAUGCGAGACAGCGACGGCAACCGAUGUUCGUACGGAUGACACGAGAGACGGGACUCCAAACCGGUCGUGACCACGUCGCGGCCCGGGCAGUGAGCCACGCGCACUCUCACGCCAUGGCACCUGCUGUGCUGCUGCACGUAGCACGUACGCGUCCUCGGCCGGGGCAUUCGCAUGCGGUGCGACGCGAGGUCCACCCUCGGCACUCGUGUCGACGAUCCCCUGCCGUCUGCCGGCGGCGUCUCUCCCGUGGCGCCACGCGCCGGCUCGUGAUUCGGGGUCAUGCGAUCAUUGCGGGAAAGCUGGGAAAGCGUGCUGGACUCUUUUCGGCAGGCAUGUGUCCGGGCAUCUGGGCUGGUUGCGAUCCGGUCGCUCGGUUGGCCUCCACGUGUGCGGCGCGUACCGGCCGAAUCGAGGGAGCAGUCCGUGGCGUGGGAAAAAAUAACGUAGAAUAUGUGCGGGAGGAUAAGCGCUGGCCGCCGGAGAAGCGGCGGGGCAGCGGGCGAAUCUUCUGGACGAAUGCCGAGCUCGCAACCGCGGUGAUGGCGACGGCACGAGCAGAUGGGACGGUGAUGAUUCGUCGGGGCCGUUGGCCGUUUCCUGGCGCGCCAUCAUUACGUGGUCGUGUUGGAAGAUCGUCUUCACAAAGGCAGGAAAUAAAAAGUUUAUUUUACAGUCGAACAAGUGACGGUGCUUGCCACUUCGGGAGGAGCUUGCCGCUCCUUCUUUGUUGGAAAAUUCCAGAGCCGUGAACAAUUUGUCACCAAGCACCGAAUAACCGAAAAUUAAGUUACUUUGCAUCGAGAACUGGCCCUCCCGUCAAGAUGAGGUGUGAUCUUCAUUUGUUGCUUCACUUCACUUCACUCUAGCUAGCUAAGCAGCCUUGGAUGGGACGCAGCUACUGUAGCCACCCACGUACGACGGUACGUGCACAUGCAUCAUUGCGCGCGCGCCCGAGAAACACAUGGUCCUCGCCUGCCGUACCAGGCAUGCCCGUGCGCCCACCGCCACGGGCGGCGCAGCCACGCACCAUCGGGAGUCUGGACUACCCGAUCCUAUCCCGAGUACCCCGUGUCGCGAGGCCCAGGCUCCGUACGUCCCGCUCGCGGUCGGUCGACAUGAGAGACAACGACGCCCCGCCACCGCGCGCCACGCAGCCAACGGAGCGAGGCCACGGAGCCACGCGCCCUCCCGGCCGGGGCACACGUCGUCGCCCGAGGCCUAUCUAUGCGUGCGCGCGCGGCACGCGAGACCGAUCGGCCGGUCGAUCGUCACGCGUCUUUCCACGAGUUGGGACUCGAGUCGAGCUUGCCACGCGCCGGCGCGCGAUUUGUGCUCGGACGAGACGAUCGAUCACCGCGCCGGCACAGCGACAGAGCUCGGGAAGCGUGCUCCGCGGCUUUUCGGCGGGCAUGUGUCCGGUCACCAUGCCGCCAGAUGCGGCGGUUGCGAUCGGGCGGUUGGCCAAAUUAAACAAGCAAGCAAACAGUGGCGCGGGCAACAAAAAUGCGUCGUGGUAGUAGAAUAUGUGUGAGGCGGCGAGAGGAUAAGCACUGGCCGCCGGAGAGGAGAAGCGGCGAGGCAGCGGGCGAAUGUUCCCGACGAAUGCCGAUCGAGCUCGCGGACCGCGACGGAAGUCGUCGUCCGUUUCUCGCGCUGCCGUCAGUGCUAGCGUGGUCACCUGCAGAAGAAGUGGAGGAAAAAGCAGCCCGUCUCACGGCCGAACAGCUUGCGAUCACCUUCCGAUCUUUACCACUUGGGGUUGGGGAUCGAUCGACUUCGGCUGGCGAUCGUGACCGCACGUACGCAGCUAGGCGGCUAGUGGCUACAGCGUGUUACUGUCUGGUAAUUAACCAUGCCUAAAUUAAACGCGAUGUGCAUCGAAUAACGGAUAAAGAUCGUGCCGAUGAAUGAUCCCUUUCGUUGACAGCGCACACGGACGAUAAAUAUCGCCGCUUCACAGGUCAGUCGACCUUAUCUGUGUAGUGUGGUCAAUUUGACUGUACCGGUGAUGUGCGCAUGCACUCGACGUUUGUUUCUGUGGACGACCGCCGAUCACAUCCUUUAGCUGGAUUUUGUCGUGUAAUAUUAAGACAAGACGCUAGCUGCAUCCAAACUAUCUUGGACACCGGAUUGACGCGUUGGUCGAUGCGCUGGAGACUUCUUUCCAAUCGCAAGGUGUUUGGUUUAGAGCCAAAAUAUUUGGAUCCUCCCUCGCCAAAAUGAAUAAAUAAAUUAUUUGGACCUUCAUAACUGGCGAACGAUCGUCGGGGAAGGUGACAAUUUUUAGUUCAAAGAAGGUGACAAUUUGUUUAGAGCGGCAUGUCAGUUUUACUUUUUUCAGAGAAGGCAUUUCUUGUUUAAAAAUUGCCGUAGUUUGAUUUUUCUUCUCCACUAAAACUACCAUCAAAUGGCGUUUGCUCGCCCCCUCUCGUAGCGAACGUCAGCUAGGUAACAUUACCGAAAUAUUUACCCAGACAAUAAACUGCCAUUUUUGAAAUUUUCCUUCUGGGAAAUUUCAAGAAGCAUGUAUACACGCUGCAUGUCCCUGGUGCCCGCUUUUCAUUUUGGCUUUCAAUUUUAAAAAAUAUAUUUUUAACAAGAAUUCUAAAUUAAGUUAUGUUUUCGUAUUCUUGUUUAUCUUGACAUGUGCUUUCAAAUAAUAUCUAUUUUGAAUAUAUUUUGACGACUUCAAAAAAAUAUGUUAAGUUUCAGUGCAUGAACUUAGCACGAGAGAGCGAUAAAAAUCAUUUACUUUGUGUCUACGACCGAUAGAAAAAUCUGCUUGAAAUUAUAUCUCCAAAUCUGGUUGAAACUUGGCAGUUUUAGAAGCAAAAAUUGUAAGUUUCAUUGUUGAAACUUUUUUUAGAAUUUUUCCUUUUUACUGUGCCCUCGGGCGAGAUUGAACUACAACACAAAUUGUGAGGCAAAACGAGUGGACAAUAGGACUUUGGCAGGUGAUUGCUCCCGCACUUGCGUGCCCCAGCGCAUUCCCGGUUGCUGCGGGAAUUGAUUGCAAUAUAUUUCAGUGAUUUGAGUGUAUGAAGCAUGGAUUAUUGAAUUAAUAAUAUAUGAGCUAAAACUAAAAAUAAACAUUAUAUAUUGCAUUUGAUUAUUGUGUAGUUUGGAAAUAUUUUAAAUAUAAGUGACAUAACAUGAUGGAAAACAUUUUUCCAUGUAUGCUGAGCGCCUGUUCCCCAUGUCCCACCGGCCAUGAGCCACGAGAACUAAAGAUAUCCACCUCUGCGAAGUGGCCUUUCUAGGACCCGAGCGCUAGAGACCUCCCAUGGUCUACUCUUCCUCGCUGCUGGCGGCGCCCACGGACAUGCCGACUUCGUCAUUGUGACGACUAGGCAUGACCGAGGCGGAAUCCUUAUCCUUGUCGCACACUUCAUCCGUCGCCUCGUCGAUCUCCUUGAAGGAGGCUUCUAACUCUGCCGGAUGGAUGCGGUACCGCCUAUGGUGGCAGCGAAUGUCGUUGGUUUAGUGAUAUGAUUUGAGCAGCGCCUCCUGCUCGCCCACGUCCAUGCCCGCGCGAUGCCUGCUCCGGUGGCAAGUUUCUCCUCCAAGUGCGGGUGCUCGUUGAGGAGGUUGAGGUUGUAAGCUUGUUCGGCCGGUGUCUGCCCGGACGCGGCCCUCCACUCUUCCAACACCAUCUCGCUGUAGUAAGCACGUGCCUCACCCAUGGUGAUGCCAGCAUAGGCCGACUCAUCGUCGCCCCCCUCAUCCAUUGGGGCGUCCGCAUCGCUGGCCUCCGGUGAGCUCGUCCGUCUUCUUGCAUUGGCGGUGUUCUCCUUCUGCUCGGACGAGAGGUUGUCCCGGAGGGCUUUGGAGCUCGAGGAGGCCAUGGCGGUCAUGGUGUCGAGAGGAGAUAGGGUCGAAGGAGGUUGGAUGCGGUUGGUGUCGGGCCUGGAGUUUAUAUAACGGGCAGAUGGCGGGGGCAGGUGGCGAGGUGGUAGCAGACGGACGGACGGGUGAUGCAGGGAGUUGGAUGGACGCGCUGUCAUUUGAACGCGGGGCAGUCACGUGCACUAGAAGUUGCGCGGGCAACGCUCUCCGCUGGCUCGCAACUUCAAUGCCGGAGCAAUGUGAGAGGCCGUGUCCGCUCUAGGUCGGCAUGGAUGCGGCACUGAACGCUCUGGAGUGGCGCUAACCACUUCCGCGCGGGGGAGGGAGGNNNNNNNNNNNNNNNNNNNNNNNNNNNNNNNNNNNNNNNNNNNNNNNNNNNNNNNNNNNNNNNNNNNNNNNNNNNNNNNNNNNNNNNNNNNNNNNNNNNNNNNNNNNNNNNNNNNNNNNNNNNNNNNNNNNNNNNNNNNNNNNNNNNNNNNNNNNNNNNNNNNNNNNNNNNNNNNNNNNNNNNNNNNNNNNNNNNNNNNNNNNNNNNNNNNNNNNNNNNNNNNNNNNNNNNUGGCCAAGGUUGUUGGAUGCUUGCGUGAUAGCGGUCCGGUCGCCCGCAAAGCCACCUUCCCGCUGUUUGCUUUUGAUUUACGGCAAAAAUAACGCCCGAACCGCCGAAGGAACCAAUACAAGACUACUUUCGAUGGCAUAAUGCACCGGUAUUGUGCGGUACGGAUGGUUGUGAACGGUGUGACGAUCCGUGUAAGAGAUGCCCUAGGUUUAUUGCAAAUAAUAUUACUUCCUUUGUUUCUAAGUUUUAAACCUGUUAGAGAUUUCAUUAUAAACUACGUAUGAACCAAAAUGAAUGAAUCUACACCCUCAAGUAAUCUCUCCGUCCGGAAAUAUUUGUUGGAGAAAUGGAUGUAUCUAGACGUAUUUUAGUAGUAGAUACAUUCAAUUUUAUCCAUCUCUUUGAUAAGUAUUUCGGGACGGAGGAAGUAUGUCUAUGUACAUCCGUAUGUACUGCAGAGUGGAAUCAGUAAAAGGUGUAAUAGGAACGGAGGGAGUAGAUAUGAGCUGUCUUCUUUCCUAAAAGAGCAGAAAAUCUUACGCGGUAGAUACGCGGUAAAUGACCACAUUUAUUUUCUCCCAAUUUUGGUUUCGUAGGAGAUCCCAUAAAACAGCUUCUGCCACGAUAUGCGUCCGCUUCAGAAAAAAGAAAGUAAAAAAAAGAACAGGUGUAGCCCCGAGCAGCAGCCACGCACCCACGGUCCUCCCGACCUCUCGCCACGAUCCGCGGCGGGCACAGCCACACACGCGCGUGCCGACCAGGUCCACGCCGCACCGCACAACCGAGCUCCAGCUGAAGUCGGCCAUGACGCAACCCCGCGACCCCCGUGGCCAACCAAUCCCGCCGCCCGGAUACGCCUGCCACUGCCACUGCCACUGCCACUGCCACCCGCCCGCACCUUCCCCGAAACCCCCCCACCUCAUCUCCAUCCCCCCACACGUGCCCUUUUCCUCCCCAAGAAACCCUCCACGCAGCCGCCCCCUCCUCCCCUCCGAUCCGAACCUUCCAGACCGCUCCCGCACCCCCUCCCCUAUUUAUCCCCUCCCCCAUUCACCACCACCAUCACCACACCACACCACAGCUCGCUCACCACAAUCUCAACAGCCAUCGGAAUCAACAGCAGCAGCGGAGCGAUUUCAUCGACUAACAAAUCAGCGGACAUGGGGAUGCCGGCGGUGAGGAGGAGGGAGAGGGACGCGGAGGCGGAGCUCAACCUGCCCCCCGGCUUCCGCUUCCACCCCACCGACGACGAGCUGGUGGAGCACUACCUGUGCCGCAAGGCGGCCGGGCAGCGCCUCCCGGUCCCCAUCAUCGCCGAGGUCGACCUCUACCGCUUCGACCCGUGGGCGCUCCCCGACCGCGCCCUCUUCGGCACCCGCGAGUGGUACUUCUUCACCCCGCGCGACCGCAAGUACCCCAACGGGUCGCGCCCCAACCGCGCUGCCGGCAACGGCUACUGGAAGGCCACCGGCGCCGACAAGCCCGUCGCGCCCCGCGGAGGGCGCACCAUGGGGAUCAAGAAGGCGCUGGUGUUUUAUGCCGGGAAGGCGCCUAAGGGGGUUAAGACCGACUGGAUCAUGCAUGAGUACCGCCUCGCCGACGCCGGCCGCGCCGCCGCCAGCAAGAAGGGCUCGCUCAGGGUACGUGAUUUGAUCGAUUGGUUACUACUCCUGGUUGAUUUGGUUCUGAUUUUCAGAUCCCUGCUGCUUUGAUUGAUUGAUUGAUUGGUUUGGUGCUGAUUCUGAUCCCGAUCUGAAUUUGUUUCUUCAGCUGGACGACUGGGUGCUCUGCCGGCUCUACAACAAGAAGAACGAGUGGGAGAAGAUGCAGCUCCAGCAGCAGGGGGGAGAGGAGAUGAUGGUGGAGCCCAAGGCGGAGAACACGGCGUCCGACAUGGUGGUCACCUCGCACUCCCACUCGCAGUCCCAGUCGCACUCGCACUCGUGGGGCGAGGCGCGCACGCCGGAGUCGGAGAUCGUCGACAACGACCCGUCGCUGUUCCAGCAGGCGGCGGCGUUCCAGGCCCAGAGCCCCGCCGCCGCGGCGGCGCACCAGGAGAUGAUGGCCACGCUGAUGGUGCCCAAGAAGGAGGCGGCGGAGGAGGCCGGCAGGAACGACCUGUUCGUGGACCUCAGCUACGAUGACAUCCAGAGCAUGUACAACGGCCUCGACAUGAUGCCGCCCGGGGACGACCUGCUCUACUCCUCCCUCUUCGCCUCGCCCCGUCUCCGGGGGAGCCAGCCCGGCGCCGGCGGCAUGCCGGCCCCGUUCUAAGCAGAGCCGAGACAGAGACCGUCAGAGACAGAGAUCGACAGAAGCGGAACGGAUGACUUCUUCGCCGCGAGCAAGAUCGCUCGCGGACCAGUGUAAAUACAGCAUAGGAAACGGGAGGGAGGAUGCGUCGUCGUGUCUGAGAGAGCCGGCGUGGCGCGGUCGCCGGCGCCGGGGCGUGCCGCUGUACAUGGAGAGCCCGGUGCUGGGGCCUGGCCGGCUGGGUUGAUUCUUUUGUUCUUACUACUACUUUGUACUCUCAAUGCGGAUGUAGCUCUUUCUUCUCACUCCUCGGUAGUAGAAUCGACCGACCAAAUACAUAUGUAGCUCUGUUCCUUCCUUCUCUUCAGUAGAAAUCAACCAAAUUUUUCUGUUAUGCUGCUAUACUUCUCUGAUGUCGGGCAGGAUGAAUUGCCUCAAUUUUCAGUCAGUCUGAUCUACUGAUCUGCCUGUGUUGUGUUUGCCUGCCUGCUUGGACACACCAAGCACACUCCGGUUCUGCAGGUAGCUCUAUGUAGCUCGAGCUCCAGAACGAAUUUCUGAUAGUAUUGGUUCCUGUAAAAUG